CACGGGCAGGGUAAGUGUUGCAGAACAAGCUGACAAUACCAAGUUCUUGGAACAUAGAGAAGGUCCGUGUUACAGGCAAUGUAACCUAGUUAUUCAGUACACUAACGGAGAGCACAGGAUGUUCUGCAUUUCAUUUGUGCCCUCUUCUGGUUGCACGUAAUUUGUGUACAUAAAAGAAAACUUCGAAGACAAAACUUGCGCAUUUAGGUUACAUCACCAAGACCUCCCCCACACCUACCUUGUAUUCUUGUUAGACAAUCGAAAACAAAUGUUAAAAUAAAUGAAAAUUGUACAAAGCUCUUGUACCAAAUGAGUUGAACCAAUGUGUAGCCAGCAUUACUGAUUCGGAAGCUCAGAAGUUCAGAACCACUGCUUACAAACAUCAAACAUGCAUAUUCGGCAACACAAAAUCACUGGUGAUUUCUUAUCUGACGGCGCUUCAACUGUUCCUGGGAGAGCAAGACUUGACGUGGCACAACAAUUCUGUAAUCGUCUGCGACUUCACAGUUCUAGAAUUGUAGCAUCAGUGAUGUUUAGCCAUUGUGACUGACCUACUGUACUCAACACAAUGUGGCGCGCAAGAUAUACAUCUUGAAGGUCUAAUCAUCUCGAAAAGCAUUUCAGCAACCUCACGUUCGAUUUAAUUAAGAGGUGGCAUAUGUACAUAUAUACAUACAAAGCAGGGCAACAAUCUUUUGCAAUUAGAAACAAGAUCACGUCGAAACCUUCUGAGUUUCUUCCUAGAGACCGCACUCACUGGAAUCCGCUGCUCACAACUAAACACGUAGUUGUAGUGCGGCGGUACGUGUGAUCUCCACGCAAGAGCAGCAAACUUUCCCUGAGGCCUAGCACGUCCAAGUAUGACAUCUUGCACAGAAAACUUUGGAGCUGCGCUAUCACCAUUGGCAGAGGCAGUCUGAUAGCCCUUGACAAUUACAAAGUAUCCAGGAGAUACUCUAUUCACGGUUGGAAGAAAUAUUGGUCUGGACAGAGCCCAAGGAUCGACCGGAUUUAGACAAGAAAUAAAACGAUUUCUCUGCCUGAACUCUCGGUAGGUUGCAAGGGCAAGGCUCCAGGUACCAAUAUCAAAACUUGAUCUCAGCAUCCCACCGAAGAUGGUUGCACCCAUGAAGCACCCACUCAUCUCCCUGGCCAUUUCCAUGGUUACCGACGCGAGCUUCGGGUGUGUUAGGAAUAAAUCAUGCUAUUGGUGUGUCCAUAUGUGCGGUCGAGUCUGUGCGCGGGUGCCGGUGCGGUGGUGCGGCACGAGCGCACGUGCAUGCACGUUAAUUAGCUGCGGCACUGGUUAGUUGGGUCGUUGUUUGAGUCCUAGGUAUAGGCGCAGGGUGCAUGCAAGUUUGUUGCGCGGCCGGUGUUGGAUAGAUUGAGUUUGUUAUUCUGUUAGUCAGUUAGCGAGUAGGAAGGUCGGAUGAGGAGGUGCAUUCGGGAAGCCGGACGUGGAGGUUAGCUCCUGGCAAGUCCGUAGCCUAUAUGUAGCCCCUGAGCUCCUCUAUAUUGUUUUGCCAAGUCCAGUGAAUAAAGCUCGCCAAGAUACAGGCCGGUUCGUGGCCGCGGCGUUCGUCGCCAUUGUUGCUCUGAGUUCAUGCUCGAGUUGAGUUCCUGAGAGCGAGAGAGAUAGAGAGUUCCUGGGCAAAGUCAACAUUUGGUAUUCAGAGCUAAGGUGAUCGAAGAUGUCGUCGCUCGAGCCAAAGAAGCCGCGCAGCGACCUUGGCGAUGACGACGGCUCUAGCAGCUCAUCGCGUCCGGUCGUGGUGGCGAACGCUGUCACUAUCGAGUUGCUGCUGCUGACUGCGUGGAGUCCGCGAGCGUGCAAUGUCUCUUGAAGGAGCUCGAGAAUGUCGCGUUCCGCGAUGGGGAGUCUGUCGACGACUUCGUGAUGCACAUCAACGGGCUUGUCGCCAGCCUGCGCGAACUUGGCGAGGCGAUGGAGGACAACCGUGUGGUCCGAUGAAGAUGAAGCAGGUUGCCAUGACGAUCGAGAUGUUUACGGACUUCGACACGACGUCCGUGGAGGAGGUCAUCGGCUGGCUGCGCGUAGCGGAGGAUGCCGACGUUGAAGAAGUUGCGGACGGCGUUGGGCGGCUGUACCUCACCGAGGAGCACUGGGAAGCGCGUCGCCGUCAGCGCCGUGGCAAAGAGCGGGCGAGUGGUGAUGCGGCGCGGCAUGGCAGCAACAAGAAGGUAGGUGGCCGUGACGACGGCCAUGACGAGGAAUGCGACGGUGCAAGCACAGUCUCGUGGUCGAGCAGGCGGUUGGAGCACCGCAACCGAGGAAAAGGCUUCAACUACGGCAAGCAUGGGCACAUCACGAGGGACUACCCUGAGUCGAGGAAGGAAAGGGCCUUCUUUGCCAACAUCGACGCCGACGAGCCAACACUCCUGUAGGUUGGGCGUUAGGGGGUAUCAUGGUUUAGGGGGUGAUUGUUAGGAAUAAACCACACUAUUGGUGUGUCCAUGCGUGCGGUCGAGUCUGUGCGCGGGUGCCGGCGUGGUGGUGCGACACGAGCACACGUGCAUGCAGGUUAAUUAGCUGCGUCACUGGUUAGUUGGGUCAUUGUUUGAGUCCUAGGUACAAGCGCAGGGUGCAUGCAAGUUUGUUGCGCGGCCGGUGUUGGAUAGAUUGAGUUUGUUAGUCUGUUAGUCAGUUAGCGAGCAGGAAGGUUGGACGAGGAGUUGCAUGUGGGAAGGCUGGACAUGGAGGUUAGCUCCUGGCAAGUUCGUAGCCUAUAUGUAGCCCCUGAGCUCCUCUGUAUUGUUUUGCCAUGUCCAAUGAAUAAAGCUCGCCAAGAUACAGGCCGGUUCACGACCGCGGCGUUCAUCACCAUUGUUGCUCUGAGUUCAUGCGAGAGAGAUAGAGAGUUCCUGGGCGAAGUCAACAGGGUGCUCCAUGACCGUGUCCACAUUUCCAAAGGUUCGCACCUUGAAGAAGUACCAGUAGGCCUCUUGGGUCAAGAACUGCAACCUUAGAGGUAGUGUGGUUCCGGAUCUCACAAUCUUGUCGGAUUGACUUGUGACAAUGAUUUUACUGCCAGAUGCGAAACGAUUUUUAACAGCUGAGGAAAACCUUCGCCAGAAAUCCUCACUGAUAUCCCUGUCCAGCUCUACAAUGAUCAGCACCCUGCCUCCACCUGACUCAGCUCGGUUCUUAUGCUUGAUCACACCGGCACCAUCAGCAAGGGCUUCCAUGUCUUUGCCAAUAAGAUCACCUCCACCAAGAAGCACAAUCUGCGAGAAGUGAUUACACGCCCUCUCAUCGAUGCAGGCAUGCUCGAUCAGGGUGCUCUUCCCAAUAUUUGCCGGGCCAACGAUAGGCAGGACACCCAAAUUCUCGGUGCCCUGAUCCCGUGCACCUUGAAGCAGGAAGUUGAUGAUGCGUUCCAUCUCCAUCUGACAAUCGAACAUGCAGUUGUGUAAGAAUCUGUCCUUGUAGUAUAAGAGGGGAGGUGGUAAAUUAGACAACUUAAAACCUUAAAACCUUAACAUAUGACUUCCGCUACUGUUACAUCAAACUUAAACUAGAUCAUGCUAUCAAGAUAUGCAACUAUGGUUGAUCUAGUGUGAAAACCCUCAUCGCAAAAUAAGUUUUGCAACCUCUAGACAAUCCUAGCAAGAUACUGCACUAAGAAAGUAAAGGCACACAAGUUGCAAAUAUGAAAUGCGCAAAUGUAAGAGGUGAAAAUGAGGGGAAGCAAACUCUUGACACAAUGAUUUAUCCCAUGAUAUCAGUAGGCACUAAGCCACCACUAGUUCACGCUGUUGAAGCACUCGCACAAGAGUAUUGCUUCCCGGUCACCAAGUCUCUUACUGAACACCCCUUGACUUGCCACAAAGGCUUGGCCACUAAGGCUCAUGUCAAGUUCCCUGGCCACCUUGAUGCCAUCUUCACUAAGUAGCUUCUCCACUAAGGGGGUCUCCAUGACCCCCCGCACACGGUCGUCGACGCCGCUCCACACCAAGCCGGAGGGUCGAAAACUUGUCGGUGAGCCACCAAGGCUCCAAGGCGCCGGCACACCUUGUGCAGCUGUGGUUCACUCCUAGAACCAAUCACAAGGUAUGCACACCUUGCAUUCUCUCUUCUCUAGGCCUAUCCUAGCACUAAUCACUCUUCUAACCUUGUGCUACGCCUUUGAUUAAUCACUUAUGCACUUUUGGUGGCUUGGAUGUGUUAUUGAUGAGUCUUGAUCUCUAAUGGACAUUUGCACACUCCAGCAACUCCAAAUGACGCAAGUGGAGAGGGUAUAAAUAGCCCAAGGCAUCAAAGAGUCGUUGCUCCAACGGCUAGUUAAAUUGUGCAUCAGAUGUUUUGAUGGUGUCAAUUUGGGUAGCAUCGGAACAUUUGGUGCAACUAGCCGUUGGCCUCCUCGCGCCCAAGUUCUCUACUAGCGCAUCAAAAUUCAUCCGACACCUCAUCCGAUGGUAUCAUCGGAACAUCUGGUUCUGAAGGAGUUUUGGCCGAAACCUCUUUGGUACUUCACAAAGUAAAUAUGUUUCAUUCGACGCCUCCAACUUCUAACCAUCAGAACAUCCUGUGCCCUAGGGUUGUCUUCGUCCCAUUUACCAAUUGACGUUGGAUCAUCUGGUGCACUUGAAGAUUUUUCAUGUUUUUUCCGUUAUACCAAUUGCUCCGAUGGUUACUCCACCGUUUGCUUUGGUGGACCAUCGGAACAUCUGAUGGUACUAAUUUUUCUGAGUUGAAUACCACCACUUGAGCACUAAAAUACCGUCAUUUGGAUCUGCCUAGCGAAUCCAACCAUGAUGACGACUUCUUCCAAGUCUGGAUCCAUUGAUGCACAAGCCAACAGCUCAUGAGGUCGGGUCACAAUUGAGGAUGUACAAGUUGUUGAUGACAACCAGAUGAAUCUUCCAGCGGGCGAAAAAAAGUUCGUAUCCACCUAUAGUGCCAACUAGUUUUUUGCUGGAAAUCGAUAGCAAUCGAUUUGAUGUUGUUUCCAUGUCCAUGAUCAUGUGUACCUACCCCUAGGGUUUGUAGGACGACAUGAAUAUGCAAGGUUUUAAUGUUGCCUCCAUCAAAUCCAUGCAGAAACUAGGAGGCUGGGCUCUUCUUCCUUCUCCAUCUCCACCCCUCCUUCCUCAUUUUCUUCUUAUUUUUCCUCACUUCUCUUCCCCUUCUUCCUUUUGGUUCCAAUGGAGUUCUUGGCAGGAGGGGAGGCUAAAGCCCCCUAGCCCCCCUGUAGAUACGACCCUCUCCAUGCCAAAGUCAUGUAUACUACCUACCACUAGGGUUUGUUGGAAGGCAUGCAUAUGCAAUGAUUUGAUGUUGCCUCAGUUUUGUUAUUUUCAUUGGAACCAAAAUUAAUGAGCUGAAUAUGUACUGAUGUGCUAUCUUACCAUUAUUGUUUUUGUGAAAUAGUAUGCAUAUACCAGUAGAAUGUAAUCGUGCAGUGACAGGUGAGAUGUGGAAUAGUAUGCAUUUACUGCAUCUGAAUUUAUUUAUGCUAACCUAUUCAUGUUUACAUACACAUAUAGAGCUCCAUUGUGUGUCCAUUAAUUUCAGUUAUGUGUGUCCAUGAACAAUUAUAUUGAUGAGUAUACAAGUGCACCAAUUAGUUUUGGUCUGUUCACCUUUUGUGCAUUGGUUCGUCCUUUAUUUUGAUCAUAGAAACAUAAAAAAGUAAAGAUGAGAUGAUCUAUCUCAACCCCAAAAUUUGUAAAAGAAUCGCAUUAUUAUUUUUGAAAAUAAUAAAGAAUAGUUGAUCCAUCUCAAGUCAUAAAUUAAUGAGCUGAAUACUAGUAUGCUAUUUUACCAUUACUAUUUUGUGAAAUAGUAUGCAUAUACUAGUAUAAUGUAAUCGUGCAAUGACAGGUGAGAUGUGGAAUAGUAUGCAUAUACUACAACUGAAUUUAUUCAUGCUAACUUAUUCAUGUUUAUGUGCGCAUACAGAGCCCCAUUGACAAGUGAGAUGUGGACUAUAACUAUGCAAUGCAAGAAGGCAGAUUGAGGAGAGCACAUCAUCCAAGCAAGUCUUGAUAAGGCUGACGUAACAUUUUUCAACUUGGUAAGUUUCAAAGAUCAGCUUGGGUAUGGUGUGCGGGACUACUACUACUACAAGAAGAGAUGUGGAAUUGAUGUAGAAACUCUUGAGCCAAUUGAUUACCACAGAUGUAGAGUACAUGCUUGAGCACGUGGCUUCAGAAAGGAAAGUCAGGUUGUUGAUCGCAAAAAACCGAGAACUAGAACGACAUGUAAACAUUACACCCCUGAAACGAUCGAGGGAGAAUGAGCCUAGUGAUGAUAGUGAUGAUGAUGAUAGUCUUGGCAGUGAUGAAUCAAUUGAUGCAUACAAAGAUUGGCUUGAAGACAAAGGCUCCGAUACCGGUAUAUAUGAUGUUUGUCCUACACUAUCCACAUGUACUUAUAAUUAUUGUACUAUUUACUCUCAUAAUAUUGUUGGUAACUUGUAGUUCUAUGCGAUGUAUUCAGGGAUGACACUAUAAAAAUAUACACUAAAUGGUUAAGGGAGCAAGGCCAUCUGAAACAAAUUAGUAAUUAUUUUUUCCUUUGGAUUUUCUUAUUUCUAAUGAAAAUUGUGAAUCUACUAAGUACACGUGUUUUUCAUUUUUUCAGUGACUUAUAAAGGUAAAGAUCAUCCUACAGGAGUACCUGAUGAGAGCAAUGGUAGUAGCGCGUCGCCAGAAACACAAUGGUCACCUCAUGCUAGGAAAACAAAGAAGACAAAAGGUUUUAAAGCAUCAUCCAUUUCAAAAGUUCACUCUUUAAUGUAUUGUUCAGCAGUAAAUAUAGUCUAAGCUUCUCUUAUGUUAUUGUAAGUAAAUGGCAAGAAAGUUGGCCGUGGUAACUUGAAAGAUAGCUGCAAUGGAAAAGAGAUUGAUGUGUCGCACUCAGAAACUUAAAAUCGAUUUUUCUGAAAAUUUGGGUGCUCCCUGUGGAGAAAAUAGAUGUACAUUUAUGGAUGAAGUUGUUAUAUUUACAAGGAUGAGGACUCCACUAAUUGGAGUUACACAAUGGAAAGAUGUGAAGGAAGAUGUCAAGAAUGAUAUCAUAGAAUUUAAAAUGGUAUGUUAAUGACCCAUCUUUAUUCAUUUUAGUGUCAUAUAGCAGUAGCCAAUGAAUACAUUUGGUGGGAAUAUGUCUUAGUGUUCCCUCUACUUUAUUGUUCAAAAAUGUUAUGAAUGUAGCAUACAUAACAAGUUCAAAAUAUUUUUAUAUGUUUUCUUUCCAACAGAAUGCAUGGGAGAUUGAGAACAUAGAUGAAUCGAAGAAGAAGAUAUGGAAGAUUGCACAAGAACGCUACAAAGGAUGGCGAUCCACUUUGAGCGCUACAUACAAGGCAUACAAUAGCUAUGAUGAGUGCAUGAAGCAUAAGUCUGAAGACUUAGACAUUGUGGGGUGGCACUAUUUAAUCAAGUACUUUAGAUAUAAAAAGUUCAAGGUACGGACUAUUUUGUUGAUUUAAGAACACAAGCAUCAAUACAAUUUUUCAUUGCUAAACAUUACUUGCUCACUCUGUGUAGAAUAUUAGCAGCCAAAACUCUUCGAAUCAUCAACAAAAGAAAACCAACCAUUCGAUGGGUUCCAAAUAUUUCUCUCAGUGUACUUGGGAAAAGUAAAGAUUUGUUACAUUAUUCUCUACUUCCAAUACAUUAAACAAUGAUAUAUUAAUGACUUAAUAUCAGAAUCAUAGAGAGAUCCAGAAACUGGUGCUGAGCCAGGUGUUUUGGAACAUUAGAGGACUACUCACAAGAAGCAAGGAAAAUGGUCCAAUGAGAUGGCUGAGAGUAUUUAUGCAAGUACUAAUUUGAGCAUAAACUUGCUUCCACACUAAAAGUUUUUUUCUUUGACACAACAUUACCUAUAUUGGUCUCAUACAAUUGUUUCUUGCCCUCAGCAUACUGCAGCCAGGAAAUUGUCUAUGACAGAUUCAGAUGAAAUAGAUGAAGAAGAACUAAGAAGUAUCACAUCUUCAAGUGCUAAAGAAGACCUUGUUUUUCAAGAAAUGUACAAGGAAACAACAGGAGCCAAAUUAACCAAGCCACGUGGCCAGGGUUACAUGUCUGAUCCAAAUAGAAACCAACUGCUUUAGGAGAGACUAUUUUAGGAGAGACUUGAAGAACGAGAACGUGAGUUUCAACCAAAAGUAAAAGAAUAGCUUGCAAAACAAGAAGCUUAAAAGGAAGAAGAGAAGGAACAACUUAAAGCCUCAAUUAGACAAGAAUUGAUGCAGGAGUUUCAAACAGUGUUGGCACAGAACCAUCAACAGUCAUUAGUACAUGAUGAGGUGACCAAAAGAUAAGUGCAUGUUUAUUUCUGUUAUUUUCUUAACUUGCCUAAUGAUUGACAAGCAAUAUUACUGUUUUAAAUCAUAAACUUUCCAUCAUGUACACUAGUAACAGUUCCAUAUUUUGGAUUAUAGUCAUAGUCUGAGAAUUACUUAAAACUAUUGGUUAUGUGGUGGUUGUGUGACUGAAGAAAUAUAAUUGGAUGUGAUUGACAAUAGAUAAAUGGCUACUAAUCUCUUAUCUGCCCUUUUUGUUUAAAUGCAUAGAGUACCCCUACAACCAACAAUACAACAGAAGAUGAAGCAGGGGGCACUGAGGUUAACGUUGAUGCAACACCAGUGCAGAGUCAAGAAACAGCAAAUCAGGUAUCGACAUAUUUCAUCAUGAUGGUUUUGUGCAUUGAAUUAUAGCUAACAUUGUUCCAAGAAAUUAUAAUCCAGAUUGAGCCAAGAAGCAUUGUCACAAUAGAAAAAGGAAAUGUGCCACCUAAUUGCAAUGCUAAAUCUUCCGACAUUUCAAAGAGUCUGUUCACUGACAAGAGUUCGAAAAGUGGAGCACACAAAUACAUUAGUACACAACAGCUGCUAUCUGUUGCUAAAACGCGAAAAAAAGAAACAAUAGGUAAGAACUGGAAUUGUGCUUUCAUAAUGCCAUUACCAUUUUCUAGUGUCAAUUCAAAGUUUGCUUCAGAUUCAUUCCUGUACAAGCUGUAACUCUCUCAUUACACUUGAAACCAUGCUUCUCCCUUCAACAGCAGGACAUUCAAGCUACGACAGGGCAAUAAUAAGACCCAAGAUUGCACUAGAUGGUUUUGGGAAUACAAGAAGGCAUUCAAUCUUCAGGUGAAGCAAAGUUAAAGAUCAUGAAUGGUAGGAGUGAUCAUGAUUUUACAUGUGUAUGAAUAAUAUAUAGGUUUUGUAGAAUUUUAGAAUUGGGAGUGAUGGAUGAAAGGACAUGUUCUUACUUUCAUAUGUUGAAUAUUCUGUUGCAUCAUUUGUAUCAUGAAUGCUAGGAGUGAAUGAUGGAUUGAUGUCAUUAAUAAUAUAUGUAUAUGUAUUUGCAUCAAUUUUUUUUUUGAAAAUUCCGUUGCAUUAAAGAAUCAAGAUCAUUGCAAUAACCAUAGAAUCAACGUUUCUAAUUCGGUGUGAAUUCAGUAUUGCAAUGACCAUUGCGCAUAUUGCCAUAAUGAUUAACUGAUGCUACAUGUGGCUAUUAAAAUGGUACACACCACAUUGUGGUAUCCUUUCAGAAAAGAGCAAUGACUCUUAUUGUGUUGCGAUAUCCUUUAAGACAAUAGCAACAUCUCAUGAUCUUGUUGCGAUAUCCUCUAAGCAAAUAGCAAUGACUCGAAUGGUGUUGUGCUACCCUUUAAGCGUAUAUUAAUGAUGCUUAUUUAGUUGCGAUAGUCUUUAGGCAUAUAGCGACGACAUAAAUUGCGUUGCGAUUGGCUUUUAGCAUAUAGCAACGCCUGCAUAUUCAUUGUGAUAUGUCCUAAGCAUAUUGCAACGGCAUAGGUGUUUUCACAACGACCAUAUAUCGUGGCAAUAUAGGAUAUUGCUACAAACCUCUAGCAUUGUAAUAGUGCUUGCUUGCAACUAGCCUAAGUUGUUGCAAUAAUCAUUAUAGCAACAACGCCUGUCAUUGCAAAUACCACAAAUGCAAUGCCCCUGAUCGUUGCUUCUGCAACCCAUUACAACACCACACUGCGUUGCACUACGCCACAUUUAUGGCAACGCCACACAAUUGUGAUGCAAUACCGUAUAGCAUCGGAGGUACUUGCAACGCCACCAAAGUGUUGCGAUUGCUGCAUCAACUAAAAUUCCCUUAUUGCAACGAUUUUGAGGUGUUGCUUUAGACACAAAACCUUGUAGUGAGUUCUUCUGAACACAUGCGGAUCUACUUGGGGCUUCAUCUUCCAGCACACAUGCGGAUCUACUUGCGGCUUCAUCUUCUAGCACUUCCUCAAGUCGUUGGACUCCGGUUAUCAUGGGUUCUUGACAUGCACAACUCUUCUCUACUCCAAGGUCAAGAUCGAUUGUUCUUUGUUGUUCGGAAGGAGAGGAUGCACAACACCUGGACCUAGGACAUCAAUGAGAGAGAUGUUGAGGUGGUGAAAUUUACUCUGCAUUCAUUCGUUGGUGACAUUUGGCAGCCUAUUCCCUGGGAGACAGCUCCAGAGCUCUAGAAUAAUAUCAUCAUGUUUGGACCUAGCAAGUGCAUUGUUGUAAAAGAGCAUGCCAUUUGUGGCUUGCCUAACCUGAAGGGGAAUCAAAUUUAGUUCAUAAGAAUGGAUUGGCAUGAUGAAGAGGAGCAAUACUGGCUCUACCAGUAGGGAAUAAGAAAUGUGGCAAGCAUCAACAAUCAUCCUACGAUCUGCAUUACGCAGGUUCCUAGGAACUGAUUUGGUCAUGAGGAACAUGGUUGUUGCCUAGCUAUGAGUAGAUUAGAUAUUUCAUUUUGUAACACCUGUAAUGCAUUUGUAUAUAUACUACCAAUAUCUAUAUUAUUAGUGUUCCUCAAGUAUACAGCGUAUCUAAAUUCUGAAUGGUAAAUAUGCUAGAAUCAAAUUGAAAGUAGAUUAAACCAAAGCGGUAUAAUCAGAUGGCAUAUCAUAGCCAUUCAUCACUACAAAAUUCACAGCAGCAACAAGCAACAAACAUCACAGCAGCAACAAGUUUCAUAAGAUGGUAUGUUAUAAUCAUUCAUCACUACAAAGUUCAUAGUAGCAAUAAUAACCAAACAUCACAGCAGCAACAAGUUUCAUAAGCUGGCAUGUUAUAGCCAUUCAUACUAAUUUUGCCUAAUGAGUGACAUUAUGCCUUUAAUUGUUGCUGAUUGAGUUUCCUUCUAUUUUUGGCCUCCAGCAUCGAUUGCUUAACCCUCUUCACCACAUUGGUGGCCUGUUCCAGGUGUCCCUUCACCUUCUGUAGCUCAACGGCAGUCUCUUCAAGCUCCAUGCUAGCCUUUGUGUAUUCUUCCUUCCACUUCCUUGCAUCGUAAUUGCUGUAAGGGUUUUUCAUUUUCUUCAGCAAUGCAUUAUUUCUCAUUUUCUUCCUCAUGUUCAUUAGGGAAUUGGUCGCCUCCCCAAAGUAUCGCUUCAUCAAGCGCAGCUCAUAGGUUGUGUCAUUGGCCUCCUUCUUAGCAAUUCUCCAUGCUUCUUCCCACGACCUUGCUUCCUCUUCAGCUUUUUCCUUCCUCUUCAUCAGCUUCACCAAAAUACCUUUAGUCCUAGCAUCCCAUUUAGGAUCAACCCACCUAAAUGACGCACAUUUUAUCCCUUGAUUCUGCAGACACCGAUUACGUUCCUACAAUUCGCCAUUUACAACACCAACAUCAAAAUUAGAAGCAAGGUUUAUUAGAAUUGAAAUAAGUUAUUGUUUACCUUGCAGCAGCAUGCAUAUCGGCGCCCAGGGUUGUAAAAUGUCCAAUUAUACCUCACAUAUAAAGACAACCUGUGCUUGCACUUGUUUUCAGGAUCCACAACGAUAACAUCAUGAUCAGGCGAUGGCGAGCUGUAGGUGUUAGUAACUCCAAGCAUAUCAAGGUGCUUCGGUUCUUGUUUUCUGAACUUAACAUGAUUGCUUUUGAUACCUUUAUCAGGAUUGUUGCAUCUCUGAAAUUAAAUAGAUAAAGUUAACCCGUUAGCCCAUAUACUCAAAAUGCGUAAUUGUAAAUGAAAAAAGGACAUUACACAAUUCUUACAGCUAGGUGUUCAUCCCACCAUUCGUUGGAGCAGUCAACAGUUUGCUUUGCCUCAUUCCAUCCAAGACCAAUGGCAGAAUUCUUCAACUCCAUAAACCAUGUAUAUUCCUUUUUCAUAUUGUCCAACUUAUUCUUCAAUUGUUUCUUUGUUUGCUUUAGCCUAGUUUUUUCUUCAUACUUAGUUACCAGAUUUUUCCGAGCAGUCCUAGUGAACAAUCCCAAGGGUCUAUUCCCAGCUUCUAUCUCUCCUUUGCAUAUGUCAAUGAAAUGCCUCACAUUGGCAUCACACCAAUCUACCUUGUCAGCCAUCUUUUUAGGAGAGUUAAGAAAACAGUGAUGUGUCAGCAUAUAGUAGAACUAACACAAGCAAGUUAUUCACGCUAGCCAAAUUAUUUCAACCGUGAUGAACUCUAGCAUUUCACCCUUGCUAGUCAGUUAACCCUUCGAGCAGCAUUUGGGCUAGAAGAAAUGAGGGGCUGCUAUGACUGGACUAUUGCUAAAAAGUUAAAAGGUAAACUAAAUUCAGAAAAAGCAGAACAAAAAGAUCAGGGGCUGAUUUGACUGGACUACCUUUAUGGCUAAAGAUGUACUGUCAUGUGAAGGGGCUUUUCUAGCAAGGUAGUUUGUGCUACACCUUUUAAAGAGCAUCAAUUCAACUGUAUUGAUAGGAUAAACAUGUAGCUGUUAUGAAAAAAGAAUUAGGGAUCACUUUUUUCUUCUAACAACUUAAGUGAAAAACCAUACGAUCCACUGCAUUUUUGCUUUUUUUAAUCCAUGUGGGAAAAAACCCAUCAUACAUGCAUUUCAACCUUUUUCACAAUUCAUGCUUUUGCAAACUAUAGGAAAUAAUCCAUUGCAAGGAGGAUCUAGAAGCAGUUGGUUAUUUUUCUUGUCAGCUAGUGAUCAAGUCAUUAUCAGACUCGCAAAAAAAACAAGUCAGUAUCAUGCUUCUGGUCUAUAAUCCCCACUAUUUUCCUCAUUAUUACUAGCCCCAGAAAACGGAGCAGAUUUGUAUGCUUGGUUGAUGGUUCCACACAGACCAUACAUUCAAAGUUCCAACUUAGAUACCCAGACUUGUUCCUCUAAAUGAAUCAAUGGAAACAUAGAUGCAGGUGGAACCAGUAAGCAAUAUAUUAACCUUGUUUUAUGUUGUGCACAAUAACACAGAAAAGCUACUUCCACAGAUGGAUGAUAAAAUGCUUGCUAUCAUGUCUAGAAGGGGAGGCGAAGUUACCUUAGUACCAGAUCUGGAAGGGGAGGUUGGCGCCGUGCAAAUCGGGAGGUGGACGACGGGCUCUAGGGGAGGACGCGGAGGAGUGUCACCGCCAGCUUCAGGGCACCGCUGCCGCCGGCUUUAGGGCGCAGCCACCAUCUUCAAGAGAGGUGAACGAGGGGCGCCGUCGGCGGCAGCUUCAGGUCGCAGCCGCCGUCUUCAAGGGAGGUGAAUGAGGGGCGCCACCGUGGGCUCGCUGGGAGGAUGACAAGGUUCGUGGAUGCUCGAUUUGGUGGGUGGAGCGCCGCCGUCAGCUUAAGGGGAGGCAGAUGGGCAGCGCCACCGCCAAAGGGCACGCCGGACCACCGCCAAAGGGCACGCCGAACCACCGCCGGAGGUCGCGGCGAAACCCUAGCACAGCAGGCGUCAGGUAGGAAUGAGAGGAGGCGCGAGUGGGGAGCGAGAGCGAUAGAGGCAUCAGUGGGAAAGAAAAACGAAGGGGUACGCCCAUAAGCGGUGGCAUUGCAGAUAAUUUUUAUGAAAUGUCCACCCUCACAGUCGGAAACAGCACGCCGAGGGUGGUUGUGGAGAAUGAACUACAAAAAAGUUGCUUUUGUGGAAGUAGCGGUUUGGAAGCUCACCCCUUUGGUUUAGCUUUUGAGUUUUUUUGAAAGCAAAAGCACCUUCACAGCUUAACCAAAGGGACCCUUAUUACAACCUAAAUAUAUAAAAUGUGUCCUUUCGAAAAAACAUACAUAGUUCAUGUCUCAGUAGCAGUGCUGUCUCAGCACAUUCAAGAGGUCAAAGGUUCGAGCCUUGCUAUCGACACUAUUUUCUUUUUAUUUCCUUUCCUUUUUUCAUAUUAGACUAACAUAACUUACCAAAACUUCUGUCACCAACUCACCUGAAACUUACAUGUGGGACCUGGUUGUUGUAAAGACUUCCCAUUCGAUCGGUAACAGGUUUGACCCACAGGAGGAGCACGUUUUCCUUUUUAUUUUACCGCCCUAUUUAUCAUCUUAAACUCCCAUGUGGGAUCCUGGUUGGUUUAUGAUAUUUUCGCAGUCCUUAUAUCGUCACAAAACCACCAUUUAACAUCGAGUGAUGAUUUCUUUUUGGCUAUAGUGGCACAUUUUAUGACGUUCCGUAACUUUGUCACUAAAUUUGAUCGGAUGUCAAACUUUAUGACGUUUUCAUCUAGAAACAUCAUAGAUUUAUGAUGAGAACAAAUGUGUCAUAAAAUUUUCAUCAUAGAUCAACACAAUUCUUGUAGUGAUUCCUUCACCCGAUAAGGAGUGUCUCGAAAGAACCGUAAAUAUUACUUUAUGUUUGUUUUGUUCUAAAUAAUGAUAUAAGGUAAUAUUGUAUCAUUAUAUGCAAUUGACCUACAUCUCUCAUUUACAUGGUGACCAUGUGAAGGAUCCUGUGGUGCUCAAGCUUCAAAAUCACCAGAAAAAAGAAGUGUAAAACCUAUAUAUUUUGUGAUGUAUUAUUGCAUAUGAAUACUUGAUCAUUACAAGCAACACUAUAUCAAUAAUUUAAAGGUUUCCAUAUAUCUCGCUGCACAGGUAAACUGAUCAGAAUAACAAAGUCAUAUAUCUCUUACCUUUUCUGGGGACUUCCUGUAAGAUUUUCAGAGUUAGUAAAAAAUCAGCAAAGUUGCAAAAUUUUGCUCAGAAGGCUCACUAUUGUCACAACGGUAAAAAUUAAUAGCCAGGCAUAAAUCACGAACAACAUUGUCCAUGUGUAGACACAUGAAUGAGAGAGUUGAUUGGUCAUGAGGGAUCACCUCAAAGCCCCGACGAGCAUGAGGGCGGGAAUCGAUGGCGAAGUUGGCCAUGGCAACCGGCGGAGACGACGAGGACAACUGGUGUUUUUUGGGUUGCCUCGGAGGAGACGAAGAGGCGGAGCAAUGGUUGGUCGGUGGCGAUUGAGCAUUUAUUUCUUUCUCCCUAGAAACCUCCGGAUGUUGGCUAUGUGGGCCUUCAGGUUGCUUGGGCCGGUAUAUGUAUGGCGCCAGUUUCCUGUUUAGGCACGAUUGCAUUGUUUGGCCAUAACAGAAACAAGAUUUGCAGCGUAUAUCACACCAACCGCUUUUGGCAAGGUGCUCGAGGGAAAGGCAUCUAGCAUAGGAAAGAAGGGAAGGAUCGUUACAAUCAUGCUUAGGAUUUGAAUUUUGAACAUUCAAACUUUCCCCCAUGUGAGAACGUGGCAUGGAACAAAGAUGAUCAAACAUAGAUUUCCGGCCAGCCUGAAUCCCAUUGCCAGCAACACCACCACUGCCAGUGGCACGUAGUGCAUUCCCAUCAGAGGCAAAAUUGACUCUGGAGAAUACCGAUGGCCUCCACACGGGCUGGUGGGUUGAAUCUUGUGGCUCAGGAGUGGGUGAUCUGGCCACUUGAGCAUAGCUCUUCCUGGGAUGAGUAUGAGACGGAAUAGACCCCUGAAACUUGUUACGCUUGGAUUUCUUAAUACCAACAUAAGUCCACUCAUCAUCACAUUGCUGCAGCCAGAGAGCAUGUUCUCGGGCAGAGUUCGGGCCUCCAUUGCUCCAAAGCACAGAAAAUGGCAAAUAGAUUGCACUUGAAGAACUGCAACUUCUAGACUAGGAAACCAACCGAUUUUGAUAAAACCGAGAAACGUUACAUGGAGCCCAAAAGGAACAACACAUUAAAAUCUUUAGCAAUACCUCCAAGGCAUGAUUGGAGAAUGAGGGAGACAUAAUCAACAUUGAGACGAAGGGCUGAGCGACCAAAGGAAGCGACAAGGAAAAACUCAGAAGAGGACGUUUGUGGGUGGAAACUUAUCGUGGAGGCGAAGCGAUCAUGGACAAUUCGCUGGAUCUCAAGGCCUAUGGAGAAAUCUAGGUCGGAGAGGCCACCCAUGGCUAGAUCGCCCUAGGGAGUGCCAUGCAGAGGAGAGAGCGCCAUCCUUGUUUUCUCAACCUAGCUAAACUCAACGUUGCCUCCUUUUCUUUCUCUGACGCAUGUGCACUUGGAGAUGCGUAUGUUAGAUUCAAUAGACCCUUGGAGAGGGAAAGUUUCAUGGAUAAGAUCUUUCAGUUAACUCCAGAGUAUCAAUUGCAUUUUAUCAAGCAUGAUGAAGUUAUGAAUGCUAGACUCCAUGACCUAGAUAGAGAGGCUUGGGUUAUGCUUAUGGGUUAUCCUCUGGAUGCUAAGAAUAACACUGCGUUCGCCAAAGCAGUUGCGGGUUUUGGUUUGCUUAGGUAUUGGCACGACACCAACUACAGAGCAAUAAUUGUGGUUAGAGUUUUCCUGCAUGAUGAUGCUAAAAUCCCGCAUGAUGUCACGGUCUCUGUUGGCUUGCCUUCGUGUGUGCGCUCUUGGACUUGCCCUAUUUUCGCUCUGAAGAAGAAAAACGUGACAAUGUUGGCUGAUGAGGAUCCGGUGCCUGAAUAUGGUCCCAUGCACCCCUUGCCUGCUGCUGCUCUGUGUUGGAUGGGUCCAAACCCUGCGAAUCCAUCUUCAAUUAUGCAAGAUCUGCCUGCCAAUGAUCCCAAUCCAGCGGCACCACAUGAGGAUGCUAUGUCUUGUGCAGAUGGUGUAGCUGAUGAUGUAGCAGCAGAUUCUAUCACCCCUGGUCCAAGUGCAGUUCAGAUGGAUAUCAAUGGGGUCUUGCCUGAGGUUGUUGUUGUCCCUCCAAAGCUUGUCAAUAAGGUGAUUAAUCCUCCCCGCCUAUCUUUCCCAAUUCCUCAUUCUCUGACUUGGCAUAUCUUUAGAUCUAUUUCUCUGCUAGACAUUGAUCUUGACACAUUAAUUCCAUCCUAUAUUGUUGACCAUGACAUUCUUUUCUAUUUGGCUUCUCUUCCUGUUCCUCAGCCAACUAGGGUGAUUACUGGCCCUGCUCUCCCGCCCAAUGGCCUGCCUUUGGUGCCUUAUACUAAUGACGAAGAUGAUGAUGAAGUCAGGGAGAUUGAUGGCCCCAAAUCUGGCACCCCAAGCAAGCGUCGUGCACGCAAGCUCAAGGAGCCCAUGGAGGAUGUGGUCCUUAGAAGGAUCAAGAGGCUCAAUGCCGACGUAGGUGGGUUCCGCAAUGAGAAGAGUGCCUUGGAAGCUACUGAUUAUCCUACUCCCAUCGAAGUUGUCCCUCCAAUGUACUCAGGCACUGCUGAUAUUGGAGCUUCUCCUUCUCCGGUGCCUCAUCUGCCCAUCGACACCAUCCAGAGCAUGGCUACUGGCUUCCUCCAGAUGCAGCCUAAUGCUAUAGGUGUUGUUGCCCUCCUCGAGUUGGACAAUGAUGAUGAUAUGUAAUAGGGCUAGCGAGGCUGACUGCCUCUUUCUUUUGUGGAUCUUUACUAAACUUAUCAAGAGAUGUGUUCUCCUCUCCAUAGCUUUGCUUUUCAUUCCUUGGCUUGGUGUGGACCACAACUCUUAUCUUUAGUUUAUCAUGUUGAACUAUCCUGCUUGGUGCUUCUGUCUCUUUUCUACGCCUUUCUGUGAUGUUGGUUGAUGGUGAGUCUCCGAACUAGAUUAAGAGAUCUUGUGCUUUUCCUGUGUUUGUUCUAUGGAUAAUAGCAGAGCUAUGAAGUUUUUGGUUUGGAAUGUGAGAGGGAUUAACUCCCAAGCCAAGUGGGAUGCUUUAAGAGAUAAAAUUUUAGAAAGUGUUGCUUCCAUUGUUUGCUUACAGGAAGCAAAAAGGGAGUCCUGUGAUCCCUCUUAUCUGAAAAAGUUUUAUCCUCGUAAUCUAAACCUCUUUGAGUUUCAACCAUGUGUUGGUGCCUCAGGUGGCCUUAUUACUAUCUGGAAUUCACAUAUCUAUUCUAGUACUCAAGUGAUGGCCAAUCCAUUCUGAAUCACUAUUAAGUUUGUGAAUUGUUUGACUGGGAACUCCUUCCAUCUCUCAAACAUUUAUGGCCCUGCGGCUUCUGUGGAUAAAGUAGCUUUCAUUGUUUUGGUUAUACGACCUAGAUGUCACAGAUUAUGAGGAGUGGAUCUUAGCAGAUGAUUUCAACUUCAUCAGAUCUCCAGCCAAUAGAAACAAGCCUGGGGUAACAUCAAUGAUAUGAUGACUUUCAAUGACCUUAUUUAGCAUCUAGACCUGGUUGAUAUUGAUUUCCAUGGCAGGAAUUCACCUAGGGUAAUAUGCAACAUGACCCUUUACUAGAGAAAUUAGACUGGAUUUUCACGUCAACUUCAUGGACAAAUUCAUACCCCUCCACUUCAGUUAAGGCUUUGGGUAGGCAUGUCUCAGACCACAUUCCCUAUGUGAUAAUAAUUGGGACAUCCAUUCCAAAAUCAAACCAAUUUAGGUUUGGAAACUACUGGAUUGAUUGUGAUGGUUUUCUCCCUGCAGUGGAGUAACAUUGGCAUCCCACACCUUACUUUGCUAAUGCUGCCCAAACCCUAUCCGGUAAAUUCAAGCAAGUAAGAGCAGGUCUCAAGAGAUGGAGCAAGGAGAUUUCCAAACUUGGAAGACUUAUCCAUAACAACAAUUAUGUGCUAGCCUUGCUGGAUGGGCUAGAGGAUCAGAGACCUCUUAGUAUGGCAGAAAGAAAUUUCAGACUUCUUGUUAAAGAACAUUUGAGCAAGCUUCUAGAGGCCAAGAGAAUUUUUUGGAAGCAGAGAAACACAAAUAGAUGGGUUAUUUUUGGUGAUGAGAACACAAAGUUGUUCCAAGCUAUGGCUACAUACUCAUACAGAAAGAAAUAUAUUUCUGAGUUGGUUAUGCCCGAUGGGACCAUCCUGUCUGACCAUGAACAAAAAGUAGGUGCACUAUGGGCCUCAUAUAAAUAAAGGUUAGGUGUAUCUGAAUUCACUGAUAUUGACUAUGACCUUCCCAGCCUUCUUCAGCAAGUCCUGCUUCCAGACUUGGAUGCACCUUUUACACCUAGGGUCCGUUUGUUUCGAUGGAAUUAAAUUCCAUCCUAAUAAUCAUAAUUUAGACACAAAUUAAUUAACCUAAUAUAAUUGUAUGUGGAAUAUAGUUGUAUAUUAUAGUUGGUGAUAUGGGAGAGAUACUUGUAUGCUGCACUUCUACUAUAGAGAAGCGAGUCUAAGAGCGUGCUAUAAGAAUUGAAUUCCAUCUAAUAACCAUAAUUUAUAGAAUCAAUUUCCAUCUCCCACCCCAUGAAUUUAAGAUAGGCUUAUAUCUAAACUUUGGAAAGUUGUGGAAUGCCACAUUCCAACAUAAAUUAGCCUACUCCAUUAAAUAGAUUCCAAUUCCUUGGACCCAAACGGGGCCCUAAGGAAAUUGCUGCUAUCCUAAGAGAUGUACCAGCUGACCAUGCUCUAGGACGAGAUGGCUUCGAUGGGGUAUUUAUAAAGAAGUGUUGGCCAAUUAUCAGGAAUGACUUCAUCAGACUCUGCAAUGGUUUUGCUAGAGGAGACUUGGACAUUACCGGUAUUAAUGGAUCCCUCAUCACACUGAUCCCUAAAAAGGAUAACUCACAAUCAGUCAAUGACUAUAGGCCAAUAUCUUUGCUCAACUACUCUCUAAAAUUUCUUACCAAAUUGCUUGCUAGCAGGCUGCAGCAAGUUGCUAAGAACAACUUUGCUUUGUUUUUUGGUUGAUCAGUACUCCAUCCGUCCCAAAACAAAUAAGUCAUUCUAGGAUUCAAAUUUUUUCCCAAAACACAAGUUAUUAUACUUUAUUUGCUAUGUGCCUUAUUUGGUAUGCGCAUGUGCAUGCGGCUGUCAAUUAGUACCAAAUAUAACUAAUAAAUAGGGGCAAACAAAGUUAUUUUACCUUCUUAUUAAUCUAUCCUAAAAUUCCUAGAAUGACUUAUUUUUUGGACGGAGGGAGUAGGUUCAUGUGGUCAUCAUUUAGUAUGUUAUACGUUGUGUAAUUGUAGCACACUAAUGUUUAGCACCCAAUAUGGGACAGUUUGAUCACAGCAAGUAGACAACAUUUCUAUACUCAGUGCUGAAUUACAUAUUAUAUAGUUUCUGAAAUUUUGCGCAUUGUUUCUUAUCUACAAAUGUAGUAGGCAACAUGAAUGUUGACACUAAACAUUCGAAGAACCAGUUCUCGAUUUACAGGAUCCAGGAAAUCAUUCCUAGUUUGGAUGAAACACAGAUGAAACAUAUAAGUGAGGCUGGGUUUGGGCCCCUCAUUUCUCUUUCUGAGUUUUCUGUCGCGGUAAAGCUUGUGAGAUGGAUAAUGAAACAUGUUGACCCACAUUGCCUAGUGAAUUCAGAUUCCAUAACAGGGUCAUCAUGUUCCAUCGUGACCUUGUCCGGAAGAUUCUUGGCCUAGAUGAUGGGAAUAUGACCUUGAAGCAAACUGGUGAUGUUGCUGAUGUAUCCAAAAUGCACGAAGUGUACAAGGAGGGUAAGAGGGCCAAGAUCAAGAAAUGUAUCCAGGUGCUCAAAGCUAGUAAUCAUAAGGAUUGUUUCAUGAGAACGCACUAGUAGAGAAUUGGCUUUCGAUCCGCCCACUUUUGUCCCGGUUUAAAGUUGGCCCGGGACAAAAGGGGGUGCGCCACGGUAGGCAAAAUUGGAGGGGAGAUUUACUCCCAGUUGGUAAUUGCAACCGGGACUAAAGGCCCCCCUUUAGUCCCGGUUGCAACGGCUAGCUGGGGGGCGUCGGUGGCGGGACCCUUUUAUCCCGGUUGGAGGAUCCAACCGGGAUAAAAGGUGUUAGCUUGUGCUUAAUUCUUUUUCAUGUUGGCAUGCAUGAUGCAUCUGGUUAUCUGGUAGUAUUACAAAGGGAUCGGAAAGUCCAUAGGUUCGCCUGUGGCUCAUCUACUGCCGGGCUGUUGCCUGGAACGACAUGCUCAUCAUAAUCUGCCACGUGCGUCAUCAUGAUGGAGAGAGUUAUCUCCGGCNNNNNNNNNNNNNNNNNNNNNNNNNNNNNNNNNNNNNNNNNNNNNNNNNNNNNNNNNNNNNNNNNNNNNNNNNNNNNNNNNNNNNNNNNNNNNNNNNNNNCGAUGGAGUUUCAAACCCUUCUCAACACUCGUGUUGGCCGAGUUGAACUCCCACGAAAAUGAGGGAAAAAAACUUCGCGCAGCACCUUCCUUGCUUGCUUCGGCACCACUGAGAGUCGAUGAAGCUCAGCUCUCUCUGUCAAUGUGCUGGACUGGCUUCCGCUGGAGGAGGAAGAAAGUCCUCUGUCUUGGCUGUAUAUAAUGGAGAUGAGUUUUUAUCCCGGUUAGAUACUCCAACCGGGACUAAACUUCCAACCGGGACAAAAGGUGUUCCUUUUUGUCUCGGUUGGAGUUUUUAACCGGGAUAAAAACUCAUCCCCAUUAUAUACAGCCAAGACAGAGGACUUUCUUCCUCCUCCAGCCCAAGCCAGUCCAGCACAUUGACAGAGAGAGCUGAGCUUCAUCUACUCUCCAGUGGUGCCGAAGCAAGCAAGGAAGGUGCUGCCCGAAGUUUUUUCCCUCAUUUUCGUGGGAAUUUCACUCGGCCAACACAAGUGUUGCGAAGGUUUGCUACUUCAUCCUCGUGUUAUGCUUUGAUUUAUGCUUUGGAGAUGGAAAGAUUAUUUGCUACAAUGUGAUGAUGAAGUAGAAAAAUGGAGAGGUAUUUUGAGCUAGAAUGUAAGGGAGAUUGAUGUGUCAUAUAUAGUAUGCAUUAUUGCAGUGGUUUAAAAAUGAUGCUACCUUGUCUAGACGGUUUAUCUUAUCAAAUUCAAUAUGGUUUUUUAAAUCCAUACUUGUUGAACUUGCAUACCGUGUUCAUUUCUGCUACGAUGUUCUCCGCCGAGUAGCAACGUAUGUCAAGAAGGAGGUUCGAUUCUACGAGAAAGAGUGGAUACGGACAUCGUGACCGUGUCCCCUUUUCCGUAGCAUCUAACCUCUUUCAUGACGAAGUGCGGUGCCGCCCAGCUGAGGAUAUCCUCGCGAAAUGAACACGGUCUUCAAGUUCAACAACUUCUGUAGUGGUAAGGAAAAAAUUUUUGUACAUAGAUGACUUCUGCUACUUGUUGAACUUGCAUACCGUGUUCAAUAAGGUUUUUCAAAUCCAUACUUGUUGAACUUGCAUACCGUGUUCAUAUCGGCGAGAAUGUUCUCCGCCGAGCAGCAACGUAUGUCAAGAAGGAGGUUCGAUUCUACGAGAAAGAGUGGAUAUGGACAUCGUGACCGUGUCCCCUUUUCCGUAGCAUCUAACCUCUUUCAUGACGAAGUGCGGUGCCGNNNNNNNNNNNNNNNNNNNNNNNNNNNNNNNNNNNNNNNNNNNNNNNNNNNNNNNNNNNNNNNNNNNNNNNNNNNNNNNNNNNNNNNNNNNNNNNNNNNNAUUGAGGACAUCCUCGCGAGAUGAUCACGGUCUUCAAGUUGAACAACUUAUGCAGUGUUAAGAUAAUAAUUUUUGUACAUAGAUGGCUUCUGCUACUGGAGGAAGUGGCGAUGGUGGGGGCGAUGGUGGUUCCUAUUAUGGCAAGGUUCCAAUCAUAGUUGGCCGUCAGCAUAAGCCGAAGAAAAAGAGCGCGCUGGAAAAAGCAAUGCUUCGAUAUUUGCACCAACGUCAUGAAGAAGUUGUUGCCGCGGGUCAGGAACCUCCUUUUGGUGGUCGUUAUGCUCCAGCCUCAGUCCCGGGUGUUUCACGUCCACUUAGUACUACCGUUUCAGGUGGCACAAAUAAACCUAAGGAUGAGAUUGGGUCAGCGGAACCUUCAUCUUCACCGUCCAAGGAUGCUUAAAGUCCUCCUUGAUAAUAACCAGUGGAUGGCUUGUUGUAUUGUAUCAUGUUGUUUGGGACUUUAAUUUAAAUAUGUGUAUUUGGAUCUUCAUGUUGUUGUAUUGUACCAUGUUGUUUGGAUCUUUAAUCGAUUUUCACGCGUAAUCUAUUGUCAAGUGUAAUACAUUUUCAUGCGUAAUACGAUGCAGAUGGACCGGCAAUGGAUGUAUAAUGCAGACAAGCGGAGCAAGGUGUUUAUUGAUGGCUUGCAUUUUUUUUUCGAAGUGGUCAAAGCGAACAAGCCAGAGAAUGGAUUCGUAUGUUGUCCAUGCUUCUAAUGCAAUAACAAGAAGGAGUAUUCAAAGGAUUCUUGGGGGACUAUUCACAGCCACUUGUUUAAAUACGGUUUGAUGCCUAACUACUUGGUUUGGACCAAGCACGGUGAACUAGGGAUCGUAAUGGAAGAUGGCGAGGAGGAGGAGGAAGAUGACACCAUUCCGGACUGGAUUGCAGGCCAAGCUUUUGCAGGUACUACAAUGGGCGAGGCUGAUGAAGAUGAGUUUGCAGAAAAUGGCCCUACUGAUGACCUUGGUCAGGUGAUACGAGAUGCAUACAGAGAUUGCGAAACUGAGAAGGAAGCAGCAAAGUUGCAGCGCAUGAUAGAUGAUCACCAAAAAUUGUUGUACCCAGGUUGCCAGCAGGGCCAUAAAAAACUAGGUACGACACUAGAAUUUGUGCAAUGGAAGGCAAAAAAUGGUGUGUCCGAUAAGGCAUUUCAGGGGAUGUUGAACAUUGUCAAGAAGAUUCUCCCCGAGAAUAAUGAAUUACCGUCCACAACAUAUGAAGCUAAAUAGAUUAUUUGCCCUCUCGGAUUGGAUGUUCAGAAGAUACACGCAUGCCCUAAUGACUGUAUCCUCUAUCGUGGUGAUGAAUACGAGAAAUUGGAUGCUUGUCCCGUCUGCGAAGCCCUGCGGUAUAAGAUCAGGCGAGAUGAUCCUGGUGAUGUCGAAGGGCAGUCUCCCAAGAAGAGAGUUCCCGCGAAGGUGAUGUGGUAUUUCCCUAUAAUACCACGCUUGAAGCGCUUGUUCAGGAACAAGGCGAAUGCUAAGUUGAUGCGAUGGCACAAAGAAGACCGUAAGGAAGAUGAGAUGCUGAGACACCCCUCAGAUGGGGCACAGUGGAGAUCAAUUGAUAGAACAUUCCCAGACUUUGAAAGUGAAGCAAGGAACAUAAGGUUUGGUUUAAGCACUGAUGGAUUCAAUCCAUUCGGUGAGUUGAGUAGUGGCCAUAGUACUUGGCCUGUGACCCUUUGUAUGUUCAACCUUCCUCCUUGGCUGUGCAUGAAGCGGAAGUUCAUUAUGAUGCCGGCGCUUAUCCAAGGCCCAAAACAACCCGGCAACGACAUUGACGUGUACCUAAGGCCGUUGGUUCAUGACCUUUUACAGCUCUGGAAGGAAGAAGGUGUACGUGUGUGGGAUGAGGAUAGACAAGAGAUCUUUAAUCUACGAGCACUGUUGUUCGUAACCAUCAACGAUUGGCCUGCAUUGAGUAACCUUUCAGGAUAGACAAAUAAGGGAUAUCGGGCAUGCACCCACUGUUUAGACGACACAGACAGCAUGUACUUGAAGCACUGUAAGAAGGUCGUCUAUAUGGGUCAUCGUCGAUUUCUCCCUGCUCACCACCAGCUGAGAAAGAGCGGGAUGCAUUUUCAAAGGGGCGCCAGACCAUCGUAAAAAACCUGCACACCGUAAUGGAAAGCGUGUGUUCGAGAUGAUGAAGGAUGUAAAUGUAGUCUUCGGAAAGGGGCUUGGUAGCCAACCUGUUCCGAACGAGGAUAACGGACAUGCACCCAUGUGGAAGAAAAAGUCAAUAUUUUGGGAGCUACCUUAUUGGGAAAUCCUAGAGGUUCGCAACACAAUAGACGUGAUGCACCUGACGAAGAAUCUUUGCGUGAACGUGCUAGGCUUCAUGGGUGUUUAUGGAACCUCAAAAGAUACAUUGGAAGCACGACAGGACCUGAAAGCCAUGGGGCAACGAGAUGACCUACAUCCGGAAAAGAGAGAUAAUGGACAGCACUACUUACGUCCUGCCAGUUACACUCUCAGCAAGGAAGAGAAGGAUAGCAUGUUUGAAUGCUUGAAUAGUAUGAAGGUCCCGUCUGGGUACUCCUCGAAUAUAAAGGGAAUAAUAAAUAUGAAACAAAAGAAGUUUACAAAUCUCAAGGCUCAUGACUGCCACAUGUUGAUGACUCAGUUGCUUCCGGUUGCACUGAGGGGUGUUCUACCAGAAAAUGUCCAGUUGCCGCUCAUAAAGCUAUGCGCGUUUCUCAAUGCGAUUUCGCAGAAGGCAAUCGAUCCAUCCAAGCUAUCAAAGCUACAGAACGAUGUGGUGCAAUGUCUUGUCAGUUUUGAGUUGUUAUUUCCACCAUCCUUCUUCAAUAUUAUGACGCACUUACUGGUUCACCUAGUAAAAGAGAUUGGUAUUCUCGGACCUGUAUACCUGCACAAUAUGUGGCCUUUCGAGAGGUUCAUGGCAGUCCUAAAAAACUAUGUUCUUAAUCGUGCCCGUCCAGAAGGAAGCAUCGCCAAGGGAUAUGGAACAGAGGAGGUGAUCGAGUUUUGUAUUGAUUUUAUUGAUUCAAUUGACUCGAUUGGGGUUCCAACUUCACACCACGAGGGGAGGCUCCGAGGAAUGGGCACCCUUGGAAGGAAAUCAAGUUUGAGCAAUGAUACUGAUUUGUUCGACAAGGCACACUACACUGUUCUACAACAGUCAUCCUUUGUGUCUCCGUAUAUCGAGCAGCACAGGCAGAUGGUAGCUUCCAAAAACCCGACCAAAUCCGAUGCUUGGCUUACCCGUCAUCACAUGGAAACUUUUCCCUCCUGGUUGCGCCAACAACUUAUGGGUAACUCUGAGAUUCACCCACAGCUUGCUUGGUUAGCCAGGGGACCUGCUACCACAAUCGUCAAAUUCCAAGGCUAUGAGAUAAAUGGUUACACAUUUUACACGAGAGCCCAGGACCAGAAAAGCACGAACCAGAAUAGUGGUGUCCGCAUAGAUGCCAUGGACAGAAAUAAUAGCAAGGAGUCGUAUUAUGGUUUCAUACAGGAGAUAUGGGAACUCGAAUACGGACCGCUGUACAUACCUCUAUUUCUUUGCAAUUGGGUGAAGCUAACUGCCGUCACCAAAGAUCAGUACGGAAUGACAAUAGUAGAUCUGAGCAAGACUGGAUACAGUGAUGACCCAUUCGUACUUGCCAAUGAUGUGCAUCAGGUGUUCUAUGUGAAGGACAUGUGCAGCAAACCCAAGAGGAAUCCAGAAGAGACAUGGGAGCCAAAGUGCCACAUAGUUCUUUCAGGUAAAAGAAAAAUCGUGGGAGUCGAGGAUAAAACAGACCAAUCAGAUGAUUAUGAUCAGUUUGAUGGCAUGCCUCCAUUCGCCGUUGAAGUUGAUCCAAGCAUCCUGCUAUCCAAAGAAGAGGCUCCGUACUUACGCUGCGAUCAUGAUCAAGGAACUUUCGUGAAGAAGAAAUUUUACAACGUUGUAUUGUAAUGCGUUAAAUGUACAUGACCUUUGUGUAUUAAUUGAUACAAUUUGUAAUUUACCCUAUGUAUGAUUUCAUGUGUUAUUAAAUUUGUUAGGUGAAGAUUUUUUAGAUAAACAUGAACAUUGUUAACCACAUACUAACAUGGAUUUUUCUACGAAUUGAAAUAAUUUAAUUGAAUAAUUUCUUGAUCACAGCAAUGCAGUAAAAUAAAUAUUUUACAGGCUAAAUGAACUGGUAUAGAAUUAAUGAUUAAUUCAUACUUAUUGUCAAUUUACUCGUUAAUUAAAUAUAUUUUUGCAUGUACAAAAUCUUUGAAGGUUUUUUUUUUCAUCCUGAAAUGCAGUGAAAAGAUAAAAUAAAAUCCAUUUCCAAAAAACAGGCGGGAGAAGAAAAAUAGGAAAAAAGACCUUUUGUCUCGGGUGUUAACAGCAACCGGGACAAAAGGCCCCCCUUUUAUCCCGGUUGCAAACGGCAACCGGGAUAAAAGGGUACGUUUCGUCUCCCGCCCGAACGUACCCUUUUAUCCCGGUUGCCAACUGCAACCGGGAUAAAAGGGUACGCUCCCAGCCCCACCUGGCGGGGGCACCCUUUUGUCCCGGGUGCCAUUACGAACCGGGAUAAAAGGGGGGGGGGUUAAAAGGCACUGUACUCCCUUCUACCCCCCGCCAGUUACACACUUAGCCAAAUUUUCGCCAAGUCCCGCGCGUUCUCCGCCGUCGCCGCCCGUCCGCCUCUCUCGCCGGCUGCCGCCGUCGUCGUCCCCCAUUGCGCCGUCGACGUCCCCCAUUGCGCCGUCGUCGUCCUCCGGCCGGCCCGCCUCGAUCCCCUCCUCGUCCGUCGACGCGCCCGGCCCCCGGCCACCUCGUCGCCUCCGGCCACCGGCUCCAUCCUCGUCACCCCUCGUCGCCGUCUCGUCGCCGUCCUGCCUACGCCGCCGUCGUCGUCGUCGCCUCGGCCGCCGUCGUCCUCGUCGCCUCGGCAGCUGCCGUCCUCGCCGCACCGGCCGCCGCUGUCCCGCCGCCCAGCCGCCGCCGUCCCGCCGCCCCGGCCGCCGCCCCGCGCGCGAGAGGUCCGCUGCCGCGCCGGCCGGCAGCGCCGGGAGGGUUUUUUUUUUAAGUUAGAAAAUUAAGUUAUAUUUUUACGAUAGAUUUUUAAUUUUGAGUGUUAAGCUAGAAAAUUAAGUUAUAUUUGUACCGUAGAUUUUUUAGUUAGUUUGUUAUGUUAGAUUUUUAAGUUAGAAAAUGAAGUUAGAAAUUCGUAGGAUGCACCGCCGUCCCCUCCACCAUCCCGCCACCGUGAUCGCCGCCGUCCCGCCGCCUGUCACAAUCUAGUAGGCACCGCCCGUGGUUCCGGUGAACCGUCCCUGCGUCCGCCGUACCGCCGCCCUGACCGCCGCCGUUACAACCUAGUAGGCACUGCCCGUGGUUCCGGUGAACCGUCCCCGCCUCCGCCGAACCGCCGCCCUAACCGCCGCCGUCCCGCCUCCGCCGCCCUGAUCGCCGCCAUCACAACCUAGGCACCGCACGUGGAUAUUGUUAGAAAUUCGUAGAAAUUCGUCAAAAUUCGUAGAAAUUCGUAGAAAUUCGUAGAAAUUCGUAGAAAUUCGUAGAAAUUUGUAGAAAUUCAUAGACAUUCGUAGAAAUUCGUCAAAAUUCGUAGAAAUUCGUAGAAAUUCAUAGAAAUUCGUAGAAAUUCGUCAAACUUCGUAGAAAUUUGUAUAAAUAUUCCGGACUUUGUACGAUUCAUGUUAGUUUAUGAUUUCAUUAUAUACAUGUAUGAUUCCGGACUUUGUAGGACUUUGUAGAAAUUUGUAGUAAGACGAUUUCUAUGACUGUCAUGUAUGAUUCCAUGUAUGUUUCCAUCAAUAGUUGAAAUGGCAGACGAUGAGACCGCAAGGUAUAUCAUGGAGCAGAUAAUCGCUGGUGAUGGUAGUGGCGACAACGUUCCACUAUCAUACACGGAUGAAGAGGGCACCCAGGCGGACAUGUUCCUCAACAUGUCCGCCGAUGGGAAUGAAGAGCAACAGCCGCAGCAACAACUUGCCGUGGCGGAAGGUUCCGGCGAGGUAUAUACAACCAUUCUUGUAUUGUUUCACGCCGCCGUUACUACUACGUACUAAUUAACGAAUCUUGAACUGUUAGCCCUCCGGAUCGACACAAGGGCAGAAGACCCGAGGUCGCACAAAGGUGAUGGAAGGGAGACUUGUCAUCACGGAAGUUACAGAAGAGGGCAGGUCGGUUGCUCCCGAGAAAGUAGCAAAGAAGUUCGUGAGUCAAAUCGGGGCAAUCGUCCGGGACAACGUGCCUAUCAGCAUCAGAGAAUGGAAGGGCAGAAGCACUAAUCCGUACGCCCUUCCAGAGACAGAAAAGAAUAUGCUGUGGGAAGACGUGAAGAGACAUUUCACAUUCCCCGAAGGAUAUAGUGAGAAGGAUGUCAAAGCGUGGACGCUUAAGAAGAUGGCUACUCAAUUCUAGACAUUCAAGAAGAUGCUGGAUACCCACUACAUCAAGAAGGGCAACACUCCAGACUUCAACGCGUGGCCAAAGUUGAGGGACCACUGGGAUGCAUUUGUUGAAUAUAAGAGGAGUGAAGAAGGUGUGAAAAAGAUCACGACCAACACAGCAAAUGCUAGUCAGAAGGGCUACCACCAUCAUUUGGGGCGAGGUGGGUAUGGCUCAGCAAUUCCCAAGUGGAGGAAGAUGGAACAAGAUCUGAUCGAACGGGGAAUCGUACCUGCAACUAUUGAAUGGCCCGAACGAUCAAAAAAUUGGUACUACGCUCAUGGAGGCUCCCUAAGCCAAGAGGAUGGGACGUUGAUUUUUAAUGACACAAUACGUGAGAAGGCCGAACAUCUCAUGAAGAACAUUGAAGAUUCUAAGGCUGGGAGGUUGAAGGUGGACCGAGAAAAUGAUGAGCUCACAUUGGCCCUCGAUAAUCCAGAGCACCCAGGACGUUGUCGAGGGUUCGGGUGGUUCCGUGGAAGUUCGCUUUCCGAGGCGACAGCGCCUCGUACAGAAGCCGGAAGCGAAGAAAGGAAUAGAUCGAGGAGAGCUGGCGGCAGAUGCUAGAACAAAGAAUGAUGGAUGAAAUCAAUCGGCGGGUGGCCCACGCAGUUGCGGAGUUGGCCCAAUCUGGAGCAAUGCCGAAUCCUAACACCGCCAGCCCUUCUCAACGCCUCUUGAGCAGUUGUGCUUCUACAGGGGUUCCCGAUGCGCAGACGCCCAGGUUACCCGUGGAGGAGCAACGGUUCCCCGUGGAUGCCAUCACGCAACGGACCUCAUGUGAGCUGCAUGCACCGGUCGGCAACCUCACUAUUAAGGUAUACUUAUACAUAAUAUUUAUGCAAUCUUGUCAAUUGAUCCACGCCUCGAGAUCGGAGUUCAACUUGUUUACUUCUGCUAUAUGUACAGGUAGCGUACGGGAGUGCAUUAGCAACCCUGGCAGGGCAGAGCAGUCAUGGCAUGGACAUUCCAACAGGCUACGCUAGCGUCUGCGUAGAGCAAAUAGUUGAUCCCCAAUAUGAAGGUCUAGAGCUCGACUUCCCGGGAGGCGACGGGGAAAAGACAUUGGCAGAUGCGCUUCAUGGGAUCAUUCUAUGGAAGAAACGCUACAUCAUUAUUCCCGGCACGGAGCCAUCUCCUCAGACCUCAAGACCGCUCCCCGUAGAUCCCCAGCAGCGACCUUCUCCUCAUACCUCGAGACCAGCAUCUCCUGCUCCAGGACCGUCCCUUCCAUCUAUAUCAAGAUCUCCAUCUCCACCACAUCCUGGUGCUGGGAGCGACGAUGACAAUAACAACACCCCUCCCUGAUCACCGUCGCCGGCACCAAGAGCGGCCCCCUUGAAGGAACCUGCACCACCACUAAAGAAGUCACAAGCACCGCCUCCCAAGCAAAGACAGAGAAAGAAGAAAACAAAGGAGCCUAAAGUGACUCGUAAGGAACGCUUUGAGGCAAUGUCUCAUGCAGAACAGUGGGCAGAAAUCCAACGAGAGGCCAGUGAGUGGUUCAAGAAACAAGCUGAAGAAAAAAAGGCAAGGGAAAUGGAGCCACCGCCAGUAAGUCGGCGAGAUUUAAACUUUUUUAUCAGGAUGGAAGAAGGAGCCAAGAAAAGGAUACCACUCUUGUCAAACUAUGAACGGGCUCUAGUAAAGGCUGAUGAAAAGGAUAAAAGGAAAGGAAAGUCAUCUUCCAGCGGUCCAGUCCCCGACCUCAGCCAUUUAUCAAAAAAAGAUGUUCAACGGGUAAAAGCAAUGCCCUUGGAUCAACAAGCAAAUGUAUUGAAGUUCAUGGAAGAAACAGGUCUGGGACUUGAUGAAUGCAUAGGGCAAGUUGAGACGCCAACUGCACCGCCCCCUGAGCCGAAGUGGCCUUAUGAGCUAGGCAAACCUCUAGUAAAGCCUUCAUUGGUACGGAAGCUAUCAACAAAGAUGUACGAAUUCCAUCAAUGGUACAUGAUGGCAUCCGCCGACUCGAGGGAGAUGAUCGGCAUGAAGGUAAAACCGAUAGAUUUUCACGGUGAAGGGGAGAAAGUGAUAUGGCUAGACUUCAAGGAUAUAUACGAAGUGUACCAUCAUGAUGCCCUGGACGUCUCUCUGAUCAGCGCUUGGAUUCUGUAAGUGUCCGUUUAUCUCUACAUGUAAAUUUUGGCGUGCGUCACCGUACUAACUUCAUCUUCCAUUUCAUGUAGGAUGCUAAUUCAGACAUGCCGCCGAGAUGCGUACCAACAUAUAGGCUUCAUGGAUCCAUCUGUAGUUAACCAACAACAGAUACAAUUAGCGCCGGAAAAAACCUUUGCGGAAAUAUACAAUUUCCUACACAAAAAAACAUUCAAGGAUUUCAUACUACUUCCAUACAACUUCAAGUAAGUGUGUGUAUACCGUCUACUUUCGAUGUCUUUUUCCUUAUCUCUACAUGUUAGUUAGCUCUAAUAUGCAUGAACAUUUUACGCACGCAGCUUCCACUGGAUCCUUAUUAUAAUUGAGCCUGAAAGAAGCCACCUCACUGUCUUUGAUUCGUUAAGGAAAGAUCCGGUGGACUACCAAGAAUUGCAAGACAUGCUAGGCUUGUAAUAAUUCUGGACCUUUAUCUCUAUGCAAAAAUUUAUUUCCUAAAUUUUAUCCCUGUUACACUAUAUCAUUCAUUAUUCUAAUCCGCAGCGCAUGGAAACAAUUCAUAAGGACACACAAAGGUCCAUUCAAAGAAAAACUUACAUGGAACACAGACUUCCCGGUACGUAUGCAGUCUGCACAUUUAUUACAUUGUAUAACACGAAUAUUUCAUAACUUAUUUUUUUCCGCACUGAAGUGCUUAAGAUAGGAACCCGGGAAUAAUCUAUGUGGCUACUACAUCUGUGAGCACAUGCACAGUUUUAUGGGACCCAAGGGACCGAAGAUGACGCCGCACAACUUUAAAGUACGUAAAAUAAAACUAUUGCUAGUUAAUUAUUUUCUAGCUCCUUAUAUGUAUUUGUUCAUGUAACAUUCACAAAUUUCCAAAUUAUAGAUGUUAAAUAUUCAACAAGGACUCUUGAAGGAAGAAAGAGUAGUGGCAAUAUGUGAAGGUCUCAUUGGAUUCAUAAUGGACGAGGUGGUAAAUCCAAAAGGAGAAUUUUAUUACGAUGGACGAUAAUUAGACACUCCGAUCAGCAACACCACGACGGGAAGAUUGUAGGAAGAUACUUUGAUUUAUUUGUAUAUAUAAUACGCGCUAAUUAUGAUCGAUUUGUACUAAGCUAGUUGAAUUGUGUAUAUGAAUUGUGUAUAAGGAUUGUGUAUAUAUAUAGUAAUUGUAUAAUUACAAAUCCCAUUCGUUUAAAUACUAGUUGAUUUCGUUAUAAAAAAAUCUCAACUACUAAAGGUUAACAAAUUAAAAGGGCCGCGGUACUACGUAUACGUGAUGCAUGCAUGAAAAAUUCAGGCGUCACGGCAGUGCCAUGCAAGCGCCAUUUAGUCCCGGUUGGAAUCCAGCCGGGACUAAAGGGGUCCCCUUUAGUCCCAGUUGGUGUCACCAACCGGGACUAAAGGGGACCUUUACUCCCGGUUAAAAGACCCGGGACUAAAGACCCCCCCCCCUUUUAUCCCGGUUGGUUUAUCCCGGAUGGAUUUUCGAAAGAUAUGCACCCUACCAACCAGGACUAAAGGCCAAUUCUCUACCAGUGCGUUCACUCUAUUAGCAUUAGGUACUAUCAACUGUCAAGGAACAGGUAACUAUGUCACCCUGAAGUAUUUGUAUAGCUUAGGCGACAUAGCUAAGCUAAAGGAAUAUGACUUAGCUGGCCAUAUGAUAGAGGUGUUGAUUUUCAAGAUUUAGAAAUACCAAAGGCGCGCAUUCUCCCGAGAGGCUUGAGCAUGAUUACCAAAUUGGAUUAUGUCUCUCCAUUCUAGCGGUAUGUUAAUUACUACUAUUUUAUACCUAGUUUCUCUGAAGUAUUUUGUUUUCCUCAGCCCGUACAUUCUUUGUACUGAUUUCUUUCCUUUUUUUCAGAUUGCUCGCAUGGACCAUCUUAACAUACCAAUUGAUUGAGGAAGUCACAUAACCAAUUAUAACCCCAUAUUUGCAAUGUUACAAAUGAGGAUUUUGAGUUUGUUAUGGACGUUGACAGGAACAAAUUGUCAUUGGGCAAUGCAUACGGGAAACUCAUCAUAUGUCCUUUUUUUCCUUCCGUUUUCUGUUGUUCCCUCUUACGUUUUGCAUUGAAUAAACACUCAUCGUUUUUCAUUCACAUUCUUAGUUCGGCAAUUUUUGGCAGACCUUAUGCUACUGAGGAAGUGUCUGUUGUCCCUGUCACAAAUGAGCCGAUUGCCCAAGAGGAAGUGCCCGUUGUAAGCUCUACCCCCCUUAGAUGAUUGGUUGCACUAACCAGGAUAAACUAGCUAAGGGAUAUGGGUAUCCCACAGGUCCCUACCGACCAGGAUACUGGCCGGACCUGACAAGUGGGCCCACCCAACCAGAGCAUGCGGGCCAAGGACACGAAGAUACUUGGAGUAUAUGCCAAGGAGGCCGGGCGAUUCAAAUCAGCCCGGAUAUUGCGGGAUACGUAUUGUAAUCCGAUUCAGAUCACCUUCCGUGUAAUAACCGAGUAUAUUAGAUUCAAACCGACUUGUAACCCUAGGUCGUCAGCCUAUAUAAGGCGGCUAAGAGCGCCUCCUGAGGGCAACCAGUCCAAUCCCAAUCCUCAAGAAAUACAAGCCACCACGCAUAUAGGACGUAGGGUAUUACUCUUUUUAGGCCCAAACCUGUCUAGAACCCUCAUGUCCCUUGUGUUCUCGCGAUCACCUUCAAGUUCUUUCUUUCGCAAUCGCUUCCACCUACAAAUCAACCACUUGGGUAACCCCCUAGUGGACUGGCAGGCAACUAAAUCCGACACUAGCCAAUCAUUAAAUCAGGUAAAGUAUUGCUAAUGUUGCACUUUGAUUUUAAGAUUGUUGCACUAUAUAAUUUUGAAUGUUGCACUACUAUGCUAAUCUAUAACUUCGUCCGUCAAUUAUUUUUUAACAAAUGUGGCAGCAUGCAUAUUGCAAUGUUGCACUAUACAGUUUCCCAUUGUCGCACUAUACAUUUUCCAAAUGUUGAAGUAUCACCUUAUUUUAUUAAUUGUACAUGACCAUAUAUUUUCCAUGUUGAUUUUAAGCCUUCCCAUGUUGUGAUGCAUGCCUUUCCAUGUUGCAGCAAUUUGGCUAAUUCUAUCCAUUUGUUUAUACUGCCAAUACAACAGAUCCCUCCUGAGUAUCAACAGAUUGUUACAGAUCUUGCUGAAUUUGUAGCUGUAAAUAUGAAGGAUAAAAUCAUGGCUUCAUGGACAAAUGGUUGUUUUGAUAUAAUGAGAAGGAUAGGAUCCCUAAAUCAGCAAAAGGAAGACCCUUCUGGCAUAUCUUUCUAGCAUAUUCCUUCAAAUCCAUGCGCCAAUGGAGACGCUAUAGCCAAUGCACAGUGCCAAGACUAGCGAGCCGCUGAUACUGUGAUUGAAAUUUGCAGUGUAGCUAAAGAUAACGUGGCUUGCUAGCAGACAGGUAGCAAUGUGUUUUUGCCUUGCUGCAAAAGCAACCACAAGGAUCCUGUGCGACCUCCAAUCCAAGAUCAUGCCUUAAAUCCACUCCCCUAUCCUCCUCCUUUGAAGACAAGUGAGUACCAUAGCUCCAACAACGACAUCCUUUCAUUUCAUUCAUUCAAAGCUGAUGACCAAGAAUAUGCCGAUAUCUCCUGGGAAAGUGUUGCAAAAAUUGAUGUGAAUGGGACCUCAAGUCACUGGAACUCUUCUAGCCCCUUAGUUAGUGAAUCAUUUUUCUUUGCAAAGUUUUUUUUCCUUCAAUCAUGUUACUUCUUUGUUAAUUAUUCGUUGCAUGAUCCUACCUCUCAACAAAUGCUUUCUAGUUUCACUUUUCAUUUUUAAUGGGGCUACUAUCAAAAAUGAAACCAUUCAGAUAAACAUUGGUUCAAGUACCAUGAGACGAAGAACAAGAGGAAAAGGGUUGCAGUCAACCUGAACCAAGGCAAGAAUCCCAAGAAGAUCAAGCUUGAUCAAGAUACUAAGAUGGCAUACACAAAAUAUGUGAGCAAAAGGAUAUGAAGAAAAGGUCCAAAGAGUGAGCUGACAAAAAAUGUGUCAUAAAUACCUUCUUUUUUUAAAAAAAGUUCAAAGUAUUAUUUUGUAUGUUGUACUAGUGAUAUUUUAUUGUUGCAAUAGUGAUUAAAAAUGUUGUUUCAAUAAGUUGGUCAAUACAUCAUGUCCGACAUCACAUCCCAGAUGUUUCAGUACACUUUUUUACAAUGUUGUAGUUUCAUCUUAUUUUGUAAAAAAGAAUACUAGAACCAAGAAGGCGACAAAAAGGAUGAAACUGCAAUAUUGUAAAAAGGUAAACUGAAACAUCUUGGAUAUGAUGUAGAACAUGAUGUACGGAUCAACUUAUUUAUGCAACAUUUUUUGAAUCACUACUGCAAGAUAAAAAUAUCACUAGUACAACAUAUAGAAUUAUAAACUUUUGGACUUUUCUAAAAAAGAAGGUGCUCACAGCUCAUUUUUAUCAGCUGGCUCUUUGGACGUUUUCUUAAAUAUCAUUUUGCUUACAUAUUUUGUGUACUCCACCUUAGUAUCUUCAUCAAGUUUGAUCCGCUUGGCCACUUGCCUUUGUUCUGAUUGACUGCCGCCCUCUUUCUCUUGUUCUUCUUCUGAUGGGUACUUGAGCCGAUGUUUCUCUUUUCAUUGUUGAUAGUAGCCCCGGUAAAAACAGAAACUGAAAUUACAAAAACAUUUGUUCAGAGAUAGGAUGAUGCAACAAAUAAUUAACAAAGAUGUAUUGUGAUUGAAAAAAAAUUGACAAAAAAACGAAUCACCAGCUGAGGGGCUAGGAGAGUUCGGGUGAUUGGAGGUCCCAUUAACAUCAAUUUUUUCAACAUUUGCCCCACAGAAUUCAGCAUAUUCCGGGUUGUUAGCUUUGAACAGAUUAAAUGAAGGGAUGUCGUUGUUGGAGUUUUGGUUCUCUUUUGUCUUGAGAGGAGGAGGGUAGGGGAGUGGCUUUAAGGCAUGAUCUAGGACUGGAGGUGACACAGGAUCCUUGUCACUGAUUUUGCAGCAAUGCAAAACCACAUUGUUGCCUGUCCGCUGGCUAGCCACAUUAUCUUUAGCUACACUGCAAAUUUCAAACACCUUAUCAGCAGGCUCGCUAGUCUUACCGCUGCUGGAUGCAUUGCCCGUAACGUCUCCAUUGGUGGAGGGAUUUAAAGCAUCUUGCAGGAAAUAUAUGCUAGAAGGGUCUUCCUUUUGUUUAUUUAGGGUUCCUAUCUACCUCAUCAUCUGACAACUAUGAUUUGUCCACAAAGCAAUGAUUUUAUCCUUCAUAUUUCUGGCUACAGAUCCAGCAAGAUCUUUAACACCCUUCUCCAUGAGAUUGUUAGAUAGAAGCCUGUAUUGGAACAUGGACAACUGGGUAUUGCAACUAUGAAAGCUAUGUACUUGUGACAUGGAACCUAUAAACACAUGGAGAAGAAAAUAUAUGGUCAUGUACUAAUAAUGAAUAUAACUGUUAAUACAACAUUGGAAACAAAUGUGCUGCAACAUGGAAAGGCUUGCAUGGAAACAUGGGAAGGAUUAAAAUCGACAAGGAAAAUAUAUGGUCAUGUUCAGGUAAUAAAAUAUGGUGCUACUGCAACAUUGGGAAAAUGUAUAGUGCGACAUUGGAAUAUGUAUGCUGCCACAUUUGUUAAAAAAAUAAUUCAUGAAAGUUAAACAUUAGCAUUGUAGUGCAACAUUCAAAAUUAUGCAGUGCAACAAUCUUAAAAUUAAUGUGCAAGAUUAGCAAUACUUUACCUGAUUUAAUUAAAGAUUGGCUAGUUGAUCCUGGUUGGUGCACGGAUACUUCCACUGGGCUAAUAGGCUCAUUUGUGAUAGGGGCAAUGGGCACUUCCUCAGUAGCAUAAGGUGUUUGGUAGAAAUUGCGGAACUAAGAAUGUGAAUGAAAAAUUGUGAGUUUUUAUUCAAUGCAAAAAGGUAAGAGGGGACUCAAGGAAAAAAGGAAGGAAAAAAGGACAUACCAGGAGUUACGGCCACUUGCAUUGCCCAAUGCCAAUUUGUUCCUGUCAACCUCCAUAACAAACUCAAAAUCCUUAUUGUAGCAUUGCAAAUAUAGGAGAGGUUAUAAUUGAUUAUGUGACUUCCUCCAUCAGCUGUAUGUUAAGAUGGUCCUUGUAAGCAAUCUGCACAGAAGAAGGAAAGAAAUCAGUGCAAAGAAUAUAUGGGCUGAGAAACCCCAAAUUUUUUGGAGAACUAAGUAUAAAAAGCAGUGAUUAACAUACUGCUAGAAUGGGGAGACAUGAUCCAAUUUGGUAAUCAUGCUCAAGCCUCUCAGGAGAAAGCCUUUUGUAUUUCUUAACCUUGAUCAUCAACACCUCUAUCCUGUGGCCAGCCAAGUCAUAUUCCUUCAGCUCUGAGAUGUCACCUAAGCUAUAGAAAUACUUAUGGUUCCCUAUUCAUAGGAUAGAAGACUCAGAGCCCAGCCUCGCUGAUCCAUUGUUUCUGUGUAGCAUCUAAACAGGAAUGAUUUCGUGGAUCCUGUAAACUGAGGACCAGUUCUUCAAAUAUUCAGUACAUUCCUGUUGCCUACCCUCUCUGCAGAUAAGAAACAAUGCAUAAAAUUUCAGAAACUAUAUGAUAGGCACUUCGGCACUAAGUAUAGAUAUGUUGUCUACUUGCUGUGAUAAAAUUGUGUCCUCUUGGGUGCUAACCAUUAGCGUGCUAUAAUACACAACCUAUAAACAUACUAUAUGAUGACCGCAUGAACCUUCUGAUCAACCUAAAAUAAAGCAAAGUACAUACAGGAAAAGUUUGCUGAUAAAAAAAUCCAUAAACGAAAUUGCAAUCACUGGUAGAGAAGUGACUUUCGAUCCACCCCCUUUUAUCCCGGUUUAAAAGUGGCCCGGGACAAAAGGGGGUGCGCCGGGGGGCGGGAAUUUGGAGAGGAGCAUUAGUCCCGGUUGGUAAUUGCAACCGGGACUAAAGGCCCCCCUUUAGUCCCGGUUGCAACAGCUAGGGGGGGGUGUCGGUGGCGGGACCCUUUUAUCCCGGUUGGAGGAUCCAACCGGGAUAAAAGGGACACCCUUUUAUCCCGGUUGGAGCCGGGAUAAAAGGGUUUAUCCUCCAACCGGGACUAACUNNNNNNNNNNNNNNNNNNNNNNNNNNNNNNNNNNNNNNNNNNNNNNNNNNNNNNNNNNNNNNNNNNNNNNNNNNNNNNNNNNNNNNNNNNNNNNNNNNNNNNNNNNNNNNNNNNNNNNNNNNNNNNNNNNNNNNNNNNNNNNNNNNNNNNNNNNNNNNNNNNNNNNNNNNNNNNNNNNNNNNNNNNNNNNNNNNNNNNNNNNNNNNNNNNNNNNNNUUCACUCGGCCAACACAAGUAAUGCGAAGAUUUGCUACUUCAUCCUCGUGUUAUGCUUUGAUUUAUGCUUUGGAGAUGGAAAGAUUAUUUGCUACAAUGUGAUGAUGAAGUAGAAAAAUGGAGAGGUAUUUUGAGCUAGAAUGUGAGGGAGAUUGAUGUGUCAUAUAUAGUAUGCAUUAUUUCAGUGGUUUAAAAAUGAUGCUACCUUGUCUAGACGGUUUAUCUUAUCAAAUUCAAUAUGGUUUUUUAAAUCCAUACUUGUUGAACUUGCAUACCGUGUUCGCCUCGGCGAGGAUGUUCUCCGCCGAGCAGCAACGUAUGUCAAGAAGGAGGUUCGAUUCUACGAGAAAGAGUGGAUACGGACAUCGUGACCGUGUCCCCUUUUCCGUAGCAUCUAACCUUUUUCAUGACGAAGUGCGGUGCCGCCCAGCUGAGGACAUCCUCGCGAGAUGAACACGGUCUUUAAGUUCAACAACUUCUGUAGUGGUAAGGAAAGAAUUUUUGUACAUAGAUGACUUCUGCUACUUGUUGAACUUGCAUACCGUGUUCAUCUCGCCGAGGAUGUUCUCCGCCGAGCAGCAACGUAUGUCAAGAAGGAGGUUCGAUUCUAUGAGAAAGAGUGGAUACGGACAUCGUGACCGUGUCCCCUUUUCCGUAGCAUCUAACCUCUUUAAUGACGAAGUGCGGUGCCACCCAGUUGAGGACAUCCUCGCGAGAUGAUCACGGUCUUCAAGUUGUACCAUGUUGUUUGGAUCUUUAAUCGAUUUUCACGCGUAAUCCAUUGUCAAGUGUAAUCCAUUUUCGUGCGUAAUACGAUGCAGAUGGACCGGCAUUGGAUGUAUAAUGCAGACAGGCGGAGCAAGGUGUUUAUUGAUGGCUUGCAUUAUUUUCUCGAAGUGGCAAAAGCGAACAAGCCAGAGAAUGGGUUCGUAUGUUGUCCAUGCUUCCAAUGCAAUAACAGGAAGGAGUAUUCAAAGGAUUCCUGGGGGACUAUUCACAGCCACUUGUUUAAAUACGGUUUCAUGCCUAACUAUUUGGUUUGGACCAAGCACGGUGAACUAGGGGUUGUAAUGGAAGAUGGCGAGGAGGAGGAGGAAGAUGACACCAUUCCGGACUGGGUUGCAGGCCAAGCUUUUGCAGGUACUACAAUGGGCGAGGCUGAUGAAGAUGAGUUUGCGGAAAAUGACCCUACAUCCCUCUAUUUCUUUGCAAUUGGGUGAAGCUAACUGCCGUCACCAAAGAUCAGUACGGAAUGACAAUAGUAGAUCUGAGCAAGACUGGAUACAGUGAUGACCCAUUCGUACUUGCCAAUGAUGUGCAUCAGGUGUUCUAUGUGAAGGACAUGUGCAGCAAACCCAAGAGGAAUCCAGAAGAGACAUGGGAGCCAAAGUGCCACAUAGUUCUUCCAGGUAAAAGAAAAAUUGUGGGAGUCGAGGAUAGAACAGACCAAUCAGAUGAUUAUGAUCAGUUUGAUGGCAUGCCUCCAUUCGACGUUGAAGUUGAUCCAAGCAUCCUGCUGUCCAAAGAAGAGGCUCCGUACUUACGCCGCGAUCAUGAUCAAGGAACUUUCGUGAAGAAGAAAUUUUACAACGUUGUAUUGUAAUGCGUUAAAUGUACAUGACCUUUGUGUAUUAAUUGAUACAAUUUGUAAUUUACCCUAUGUAUGAUUUCAUGUGUUAUUAAAUUUGUUAGGUGAAGAUUUUUUAGAUAUACAUGAACAUUGUUAACCACAUACUAACAUGGAUUUUUCUGCGCAUUCAAAUAAUUUAAUUGAAUAAUUUAUUGAUCACAGCAAUGCAGUAAAAUAAAUAUUUUACAGGCUACAUGAGUUGGUAUAGAAAUAAUGAUUACUUCAUACUUAUUGUCAAUUUACUCGUUAAUUAAAUAUAUUUUUGCAUGUACAAAAUCUGAGAAGGUUUUGUUUUUCAUCCUGGAAUGCAGUGAAAAGGUUAAAUAAAAUCCAUUUCCAAAAAACAGGCGGGAGAAGAAAAAUAGGAAAAAGGACCUUUUGUCCCGGGUGCUAACAGCAACCGGGACAAAAGGCCCCCCUUUUAUCCCGGUUGGUGACGGGACCCGGGACAAAAGGCCCUUUUGUCCCGGGUGCCGUUACGAACCGGGAUAAAAGGGGGGGGGGGUUAAAAGNNNNNNNNNNNNNNNNNNNNNNNNNNNNNNNNNNNNNNNNNNNNNNNNNNNNNNNNNNNNNNNNNNNNNNNNNNNNNNNNNNNNNNNNNNNNNNNNNNNNNNNNNNNNNNNNNNNNNNNNNNNNNNNNNNNNNNNNNNNNNNNNNNNNAAAGGGGGGGGCCUUUUGUCCCGGUUGGUGACGGGACCCGGGACAAAAGGCCCUUUUGUCCCGGGUGCCAUUACGAACCGGGAUAAAAGGGGGGGGGGGUUAAAAGGACUGUACUCCCUUCUACCCCCCGCCAGUUCCACACUUAGCGAAAUUUUCGCAAGUCCCGCGCUCUCCGCCCGUCGCCGCCCGUCCGCCUCCCUCGCCGGCCGCCGCCGUCGUCGUCCCACAUUGCGCCGUCGAAGUCCAGCAUUGCGCCGUCGUCGUCGCCCGUCCGCCUCCCUCGCCCGUCGCCGCCCGUCCGCCUCCCUCUCCGCCCGUCGCCGCCCGUCCGCCUCCCUCGCCGGCUGCAUCGCCCCUCGUCGCCGGCUCCAUCCUCGUCGCCCCUCGUCGCCCCUCGCCGGCCGCCGUCGUCAUCUUCGCCUCGGCCGCCGUCGUCCCGCCGUCGUCGUCUUCGUCCUCGUCGCCGCCCCAGCCGCCGCUGUCCCGCACGCCGCCCGGCCGCCACCGUCCCGCCGUCACGCCGCCCCGGCCGCCGCCGUCAGGCCGCCCCGGCCGCCGCCGUCCCGCCGCUCCGGCCGCCGCCCCGCGCGCGAGAGGUCUGCCGCGCCGGCCGGUGCGCCGGGAGAGCUGGCCGUUUUCUUUUAAUUUUUAAUUUUGUUUUUUUAGAUGGAAUUGUAAUUUUGUUAAGUUAGAUUUUUAGAUUUCUAAUUUUGUUAAGUUAGAUUUUUAGAUUUCUAGUUAGUUUGUUAAGUUAGAUUUGUAGUUAGGUUGUUAACUACCGUCCCGCCGUCGUGAUCGCCGCCGUCCCGCCGAGUAGCCGACGUGAUCGCCGCCGUCCUGCCGCCCAUCACAACGUAGUAGCUUAGGCACCGCCCGUGGUUCCGGUGAACCGCCUCCGCCGCCCUGACCGCCGCCGUCCCGCCUCCGCCGCCCUGACCGCCGCCGUCCCGCCUUCGCCGCCCUUAUCGCCGUCGUAGAAAUUCGUAGGAAUUCGUCAAAAUUCGUAGAAAUUCGUAGAAAUUCGUAGAAAUUCGUAGAAAUUCGUAGAAAUUCGUAGAAAUUCGUAUAAAUUCGUAUAAAUUCGUAGAAAUUCGUAGAAAUUCGUAGAAAUUCGUAGAAAUUCGUAUAAAUUCAUAGAAAUUCAUAGAAAUUCAUAGAAAUUCAUAGAAAUUCAUAGAAAUUCAUAGAAAUUCAUAGAAAUUUGUAUAAAUUCAUAGAAAUUUGUAUAAAGAUUCCGGACUUUGUACGAUUCAUGUUAUUUUAUGAUUUCAUUAUAUACAUGUAUGAUUCCGAACUGUGAUUAUAUACAAAUUUGUAUUAAGACGAUUUGUAUGACUGUCAUGUAUGAUUCCAUGUAUGUUUGCAGCAAUAGUUGAAAUGGCAGACGAUGAGACCGCAAGGUAUAUCAUGGAGCAGAUAAUCGCUGGUGAUGGUAGUGGCGACAACGUUCCACUAUCAUACACGGAUGAAGAGGGCACCCAGGCGGACAUGUUCCUCAACAUGUCUGCCGAUGUGAAUGAAGAGCAACAGCCGCAGCAACAACUUGCCGUGGCGGAAGGUUCCGGCGAGGUAUAUACAACCAUUCUUGUAUUGUUUCACGCCACCGCUACUAGUACGUACUAAUUAACGAAUCUUAAACUGUUAGCCCUCCGGAUCGACACAAGGGCAGAAGACCCGAGGUCGUACAAAGGUGAUGGAAGGGAGGCUUGUCAUCACCGAAGUUACAGAUGAGGGCAGGCCGGUUGCUCCCGAGAAAGUCGCAAAGAAGUAUGUUAGUCAAAUCGGGGCAAUCGUCCGGGACAACGUGCCUAUCAGCAUCAGAGAAUGGAAGGGCAGAAGCGAUAAUCCGUACGCCCUUCCAGAGACAGAAAAGAAUAUGCUGUGGGAAGACGUGAAGAGGCAUUUCACAUUCCCCGAAGAUUAUAGCGAGAAGGAUGUCAAAGCGUGGACACUUAAGAAGAUGGCUACUCAAUUCCAGACAUUCAAGAAGAUGCUGGACACCCACUACAUCAAGAAGGGCAAAACUCCAGACUUCAACGCGUGGCCCAAGUUGAGGGACCACUGGGAUGCAUUUGUUGAAUACAAGAGGAGUGAAGAAGGUGUGAAAAAGAUCACGACCAACGUUGCAAAUGCUAGUCAGAAGGGCUACCACCAUCAUUUGGGGCGAGGUGGGUAUGGCUCAGCAAUUCCCAAGUGGAGAAAGAUGGAACAAGAUCUGAUCGAACGGGGAAUCAUACCUGCAACUAUUGAAUGGCCCGAACGAUCAAAGAACUGGUACUACGCUCAUGGAGGCUCCCUAAGCCAAGAGGAUGGGACGCUGAUUUUCAAUGACAGAAUACGUGAGAAGGCCGAACAUCUCAUGAAGAACAUUGAAGAUUCCAAGGCUGGGAGGUUGAGGGUGGACCGAGAAAAUGAUGAGCUCACAUUGGCCCUCGGUAAUCCAGAGCACCCAGGACGUUGCCGGGGGUUCGGGGUGGUUCCGUGGAAGUUCGCUUUCCGAGGCGACAGCGCCUCUUACAGAAGCCGGAAGCGAAGAAAGGAACAGAUGGAGGAGAACUGGCGGCAGAUGCUAGAACAACGAAUGAUGGAUGAAAUCAAUCGGCGGGUGGCCGACGCAGUUGCGGAGUUGGCGCAAUCUGGAGCACUGCCGAAUCCUCACACCGCCAGCCCUUCUCAACGCCUCGGGACCAGUUGNNNNNNNNNNNNNNNNNNNNNNNNNNNNNNNNNNNNNNNNNNNNNNNNNNNNNNNNNNNNNNNNNNNNNNNNNNNNNNNNNNNNNNNNNNNNNNNNNNNNCAAUGGUCCGGAAGCUCUCAACAAAGAUGUAGGAAUUCCAUCAAUGGUACAGGACGGCAUCCCCCAAAUCUAGGGAGAUGAUCGGCAUGAAGGUAAAACCUAUAGAUUUUCUCGGUAAAGGGGAGACAGUGCUGUGGCUAGACUUCAAGGAUAUAUACGAAGUGUACCAUCAUGAUGCCCUGGACGUCUCUCUAAUCAGCGCUUGGGAAAUCAAACCGGGACUAAAGGGGGUCCUUUACUCCCGGUUAAAAUACCCGGGACUAAAGACCCCCCCCCUUUUGUCCCGGUUGGUUUAUCCCGGAUGGAUAUCCGAGAGAUAUGACCCUUACCAACCGGGACUAAUGCUCAGUUUUCUACCAGUGAAUACAGCGCCUAUAUCAACCAAAAUGCCUACCAAAAUCUACACAAGAUGUCCCUGGUACAAAUCGAACCCAUCAUGCAAACAUGCGUAAGGAUUGAACCCUAGAAACGAACGAAAUCAUAGACAAACCAAGCUUCUCCGUUUGAUUCGUGCCCUUCGCCUGAACCACAUCGCUUGAGCCACCACCAUCUGCUGAAGGAAUUUUUGUGGUCUCUGAGGACCUCGCAUGGCGAGUGCGGGUGCGUGAGGACACCCUCUUCUCUCCUGAACCGCUCGAUGUGUCGCUGCUGCCGCCCUUUUUGCCAUCUUGGGCUACCGCAUCGGUGUGCAGCAGGAAGAAGCGGGUAGGAGAGGCGAUGUGUGCGAAAAAUUAAGGAUGCGUCGGGUGGAAGGAGACGAGCACCAGUAGAGAAUUGGCCCUUAGGGCCUGUUUGGUAGAGCUCCACGCAGCUCCAGAUCCUCAAAAACAGCUCUGCUCUAGAUUUUUUCAGCCAAACGGUUUUAGAUCCAGCAACUCCACCACGGAUCUGCUCCACGAAAACGGCGGAUCUACCCCCAGAUCCAUUGAUUUGGUGGAGCACCUCAGGGGGUGCUCCACGAAAUCAAAUUUGGUGGAGUUGGAGGAAAUUACCCACCACUGCCACUCAUUAGUGGAAAAUGACCGGUUCGUUCUAUUUCUUCACAGCUUCCUCUCGCGCUACCAUGGCUGCGCCUCGCUCGCCGCAGCCCCGCCGCGCCCCACCCGCCGGACCGCCGCCCCGUACCCGCCGGAGCACCGCCCCACCCGCCGGAGCGCCGUCUCACUUGGCUGGCGGCCCACGCGCCCCGCCCGCUCGAGCGCCGUCCCGCCCGCCGCCGCCCCAUCCCGCACCCGCCCGCCUGGCCACCAGCGGGGCCGCACCUGCCCGCACGCCGCCUGCCGGAGCGCCGUCCCACCCGCUGGAGCCCCGCCCCACACCCGGCCGCCCGUGNNNNNNNNNNNNNNNNNNNNNNNNNNNNNNNNNNNNNNNNNNNNNNNNNNNNNNNNNNNNNNNNNNNNNNNNNNNNNNNNNNNNNNNNNNNNNNNNNNNNNNNNNNNNNNNNNNNNNNNNNNNNNNNNNNNNNNNNNNNNNNNNNNNNNNNNNNNNNNNNNNNNNNNNNNNNNNNNNNNNNNNNNNNNNNNNNNNNNNNNNNNNNNNNNNNNNNNNNNNNNNNNNNNNNNNNNNNNNNNNNNNNNNNNNNNNNNNNGGGCCCAAAUUGCCAGUGAGAUAAAGACAAGAAUGGAGCUGUACCAAACGCUUUUUGAGAUAUUAGAUCCAUGGUGGAGCAGCUCUAUGGUGGAGCUAGCUGGAUCUAUGGAUUUGGAGCUAUUUUUUCAGAGCUGGAGCUCUACCAAACAGGCCCUUAGUCCCGGUUGGUAGGGUGCAAAGCUCCCGAAAAUUCAUCCGGGAUAAACCAAUCGGGACAAAAGGGGAUCCUUUUAUCCUGGAUCACUCAACCGGGAUAAAAGACCCCCUUUUAUCCCGGUUGGUCCAACCGGGAUAAAACGGGUCACCACGCCAGACGCCGCAAAAAAAAAUGAAAUCCCAUGUUCCCAGGAGGCCCCCCCACAAGUCACGCGAUUUUUGACGCGAAAUAUGCGCGUCACGGUUCAUGGGGUUCGAACCCACAACCUCUAGCCUCACGUGUAGCUUCCUUGCCAUCCCACCUACACACCACAUCUGACUAUGUAGGGGAUGCUAUCCUUUUGUAUUAACUCGUGGGGGACCCUUUUAUCCCGGUUAUAAACACCAACCGGGAUAAAAGACCCCCUUUUGUCCCGGUUGGUAUUACAAACCGGGAUAAAAGACUCUUGACCCUUUUAUCCCGGUUGGUGUUACCAACCGGGAUAAAAGGGGGUUCUUUUAUCCCGGUUGGUAUUUCAAACCGGGAUAAAAGGCCUCUCAGGGUCUUUUUUUCUCACUAGCCUUUGCAACCCGGAUAAAAGGUCCCGGUUGGUGAGCCCCCACCAAUGACCGAGCUUUAGUCCCGGUUGGUGAACCUUUUGUCCCGGACCAACUUUAAACCGGAAUGAAAGGGGGCGCAUCGAAAGCCAAUUCUCUACUAGUGGAGAUAGGAAAAGGGGGUUUGCCUUUUGUAGCCAUAGGAUGCGCGAGGGGACAUCAAUGGUUGAUGCGAUGUCCAAUCUAGGGUUUGGGCGUGGGACGCUCUAACUUGAGCAUUACUGAAGAUUUAUGGGCGAUAUAUAUGUGGUUAUUAGAGCAACUCCAAGAGAUUGCUAAUCUUACCCCAAUACUUUUUUUAGGAAAAAAGAGAGAAAAAAUGAACUCCAACAAUCCACCUAAACCUUCCCUAAUUUUUUAGCAACGCUAAAAAACAGCCUGCCACCGCGUAUAUUUUAGCGUUGGCGUUCCUCCCCCAAUCCUGAUUCCCGCACGCCCGCGCGUCCCUUCCGAUGGGCCCAAUACGAUGACAUGGCCUAUGUUUGAAAUAUUGGGGGAUAUUUAUUAGCGAUCUGCUGUGCACUGAUAUAUUUUUGGAGGAAAUUUUUUUGGGAGAACCCCCAAUACAUAAUUUUGGGGAAGAAUUUUUUAGUAUACUCUUGGAGUUGCUCUUAGACCCAUACAUAGCCCAGUGAAAGUGGGCCAUUCACAUCAGGCCCCUAAAAAUUUUGGGGCCCCUAGCAAAGUGGGCAUUAAACCUUCAACGUGGAUACUGGCUUGGUAAUGUGGCUACCACUGGCGGAUUUGGUGCUAUUAGCCUGCCUCCGUGGCUGGCGAGUUGCAAAUACGAUCUGUAUUCUAUUCCUGCUGGUCACCUUAUCCCCCCAUCUCCCAGCUAUAAGGACGCGUGAGCAAGUCGUGGCGUUGCCCAACCCGGCGGCCAGAGGUGGCGACGACGACUUUGGCUGAAGAAUAGAGGGAGAGCAACCUGGUCUGUUCUUUUUGGAUAGCCUGGUGGGAGGACAAGGCGUCUGAUGAGCUGUGAGGCAACAAAAUUCAUCUUGUGUGGUCGUGGGUAGGAUUGACCCAAAGGUGUCCACGGCAGUGGCAAGGAAGAACCGAGAUUCAUCUUGUCUUUGAUUAUUCCUUCUUUUGCUCUUUGAUUCAGCGAUACGAUAAGCUAUUCCAAUAAUUCCCUCGAUUCCAUGCCUAACGCUCUUGAUUGCCUAAUGUUUUUGAUUGAUUGAACUGAAUAGUCUAUUCUGACUCCCUUGAUCGAUUUUGCUUGGCCUAGUUCCAAUGCUAUCGGCGUGUGUGAAAUUGUUAGUGCUACGAUCAUUGAUUCUUGUUCCUUGUUUAAUUUGUGGAUGAAGCUUUCAUGGUGACGAUAUGUUGCAUUGUAAAAUGAUAUAAAGGAAAAAAAAAUUGGAAAAGUUUGGGAGGGCACAAGCCAUUGCCACGAGGGCACGGGAGGAUCAAGAUGAGUGCAAUACACUAACGUGCAGGUCCUAGUGUAAAAAUGGUAAUCCAUUCUCAAAAUCCUCUUUCUGGAGCUGGAGGAACCCUUCUGACCAAACGCGACCAGACAAUUCUAAUUCCAAUUCCAAUCCUCCAGGUGCACUUUGCAGUAGGAUUAGAAAAUUUUGCACUUGAAGCCAUACCAAAUAGGCUCUAUACGACCCUUUGUCCAAAACUAUAUUGAGUCAGCUCUGAAUCUGGAUGGGUGGAAGUCGAAGUCGGCCGUUGGGAAUAGAGACGAAUCCACAAAAAGCUAGACUGAACAAAAAAAUAGAAAUAUAGUAUGAUUGAGAAAUAAUGGUAGGAUGCACGUGCGCUGCUGCGGUAAAAUACUAAUUAUGUUAUUUUUCUAUUUCACAAAAUAUAUUACAAAACACACACACAUACACGUAUGCACAAUCAUCCUUAUCAAUACACGCUAAUUUAUGUGGUGAGUAGCCUUGGUGAGUGGGAAAAUAUAUGUAGUCAAUGUGCACUCUAUGAUGUAAGUAUAAAUUCUAUUUUCUAUUAUAUCGUAUGCUUAAUUUAUAUUUAUGUAACAUAUUCUACGUUGCUGACAAUAGCUGAAAGUUUCUGUAAAUUAAAAAAUAAAUUACUGAUUUUUUUAUGGGAAUAAUAUUUCUAAGGAUGGGUCAUGCCGUCACUCACCCUUGGAAAACAAAUUUGCAUGGGCGGGUCAUGAUAUCACCCGUCCCUGCAAAUAACUAUUUUUAGAGACGGUCAUGGCGUUACCCGUACCUAGAAAUAUAUUUACAGGGGUGGGUGAUGGCGUGGCCCGCCUUUGGAAAUGGCUUUCUAGGGGCGAACAUGUUACCCGCUUCUGCAAACAGCUAUUUGUAGCUGCGAAAAGCAGGAUGCAGGUAACGCACACAGGAGGCAGGUAAUGCACCCGUCCCUACAAAUAUCGUUUCAAUGGGUCCUAAAAACCAUUUUCUAGGAGUGAUGAAACUAUAAUGAUCAUUUCUUUUCUUCCUCAAAACAUCGAACAACUGAUUUCAUUAUUAUGCUUGUCUUUGAAUAAGUUGAACCCGAAAAAAAAGAUACACGCCCUAUGUCGUGCGCUCGGUAACGCGCUAAAUGGCAUCACAUAUGCACUUUACUCCACGCAUCUCCCAGCGGUCCGGUCUGGAGCCCUCUCACUCUGUUCCGUGCUCCAUACUUCCGUGUCAAUCAGCACAGAUAAGGUGUCAGAGUCCUGCCCAAAUAACUCCUACCUGCUCAGACCCAGCGCAUCAAUUUCAACACGCGCGACGCUGUCCAGAUAACCUUCUGAGUCGUCCCACGCGGCACCAAAUCCGCCCUCCACGCUAUAUGUAGGACACGUCCAGGCAAACACGGAAGACACCAAGACCAUGUCUAAUCCACUCCUGCGGUUGCUCCUUCCUCUCCUGCUUCUCCUGCUUCCCCCUCCCCUCCGGGAGUACUUCUCGGCCAGCCACCGGCCAAAGGAUGCCGGCUUCAGCGGCGAGCUCCACCCGGUCGUCCUGGUGCCUGGGCAAAGCUGCAGCGACCUGGAGGCGCGGCUCACCGAGGCGUACAAGCCGUCGGCGCCACGCUGCGGCGCAAUGAAGGGGAAUGGAUGGUUUGGCCUGGUGUCGAGACGCGCGUCCCCAACUUCGGCUCCGCGUGAGGGUUCCACUGUAAAGACCCUCUUCGCCCGUACGUAAUCCUGCCAAAUCCAUCACUCAUGCGUCAGGGAAACACUAAAGUUGCCGAGUGUAAUUUGUUCGCCGAGUGCAUUAUUGCGGGCACUCGGCGAAGGCCGUGUUUGCCGAGUGUAUCCCUGCCAACACUCGGCAAACAUAUUACACUCAGUGAAAAUACUGUUUGCCGAGUGCAAAAAAAACACUCGGCAAACUCACGGGAAACACUCGGCAAAUAAAAUACACUCGGCAAACCCUUAAGCACGUGACCAGCACAUGCGGCGUCCGUUAGGGGGUGAGCCGGACGUUAGUUGUUUGCUGAGUGUCCCCCGUCGACACUCGGCAAAGAUCAAGGUUUGCCGAGUGUUAAAUGCGACACUCGGCAAAGAUCAAUGUUUGCCGAGUGUUUUGAUGGGACACUCGGCAAACAUGAAGGUUUGCCGAGUGUUUUUUGACACACUCGGCAAAACUAAAAUAUUUUUUCCCUCCUCCACCCUCCAAACUUUUUAUACUCCCCACAUAUGACAUUUGGCACUACAUGUUAGAAGGUGGACUAUUUAUUGACAUGUUUGCUAUAUUUAAUGAAUUAAUUUCAUUUAGAGUAAUUUGUUGAUUUAAGUCAAAUUUGAACUGCAGGUGAUUGGAAUAAUAGAAUAAUAUGAGUGAAAAAAUCAUAUUCAUGAUAGUGAGUCCAAAUUGAGGUCUCAUCCGGAAAAUGAAAAGAAAUUUCGAACAUUUUGUUAAGGAAACACGAUUACGAACGUGUGGCCGAAUGAUUUUUUAAUUCUCAAAAAUACAAACGAAGUUUGAAAAUUACGAGAUUUUCCAAGAUGCUAUGAUUUCAUAUGCAGAGGCUGUGGUAAAAAAAUUGAGAAGGUUUCGCACAAAUUUUAACAUAUGAUGCUUAGAAUUCGAAGCAUCUCCGGAGAGGAUCCGUAGAAGUUGGAAGGAUCCGGUAAGAUUUUGAAUCAAAUCGAUACUUGAAUUUGUCAUUGAGUUCAAAUUUAUUUUUAUAGGCCAUAGAGAACAUAGAUUGGUUCAUGUCAAAUUUUGGGAAUUUUUUGGAUCCGUUUGAUAAUUUUUAUUUAUUAAUUGCAAGUAUAUGAAUUUAAUAGAUAUAAAUUAAAUAUGAGCUAUAAAUCCAUGAAAUAAUGGAAUAAUAUUAGUUAAAAAAUGAAAUACGCAAUGUUUAGUGAAUUUGACUAGGUUUUUGCAAAGUUUACAUACUUUUAAUUACUAAAACAGUACUUUGCACAUGCAAUAUAAGUACUGAUUUGCCGAGUGUCGCAAUGAGGCACUCGGCAAAGAAUAGAUUUGCCGAGUGUCGCAAUGAGACACUCGGCAAAGCUCUCCGUGGGUCAACGUGUCAGCGUCGGUCCAAAAUCCGGGGAAAAAAAUCCUUUGCCGAGUACCCCUCAUCUAGCACUCGGCAAAGGCAAAUGCCUUUGCCGAGUGCUAGAUCAGGGGCACUCGGCAAAGACUUGACAUUAAGCCGGCCCCUAACUCACGCACACAUCACACACCCGCACACCCACAUGCACACGCACACGCACCGCACGCGCCGCCCGCCCCGCGCCGCUCGCUGGACCCGCGCCGCUCGCGCCGCCCGCCGGAACCCCGCCGGCCCCUACGCUGGCCCCCCGGCCGCCACCCGCCGACCCCCGCGCCACCACCAGCCCGCCCCGCGCCAGCCUCGGCCACCCCGCGCCGCCCCGGUCCCGGCACUAAGGUGAGUUGAUUAAACUGAAUAUUAUCUGCAAUACCUGAAUAUUUGAAAUAUUAUCAUGCUUGAAAUAUUGUCAUGCAUUAUGUAUCAGUGCUUGUUGUGGAGUCGGCAAUCAUGCCGUUGUGUUGUUGUAGAUGUGAUUGUCGGCCAUUGAGCCAUUUUAUUUGAUGCAGGUGUAGGAAACCUCCCUGUGCAGGGGAGGUGCUGUCGAAAUUUUAACUUGACAGUAGUAUGUUCUUUUUUUCAGGAGAGCCUACGCUACCGUCCUCGAGUCGUCACUUUGCAGGAUAGCAAGGUGAGGCAUCCUACACCUCUCUUUCCGUAUGAUGUUCGUAUAUCACGUAACCUAGUUAGGCAUCUCCUGUUUGAAAGAGAUACGGUUGGAAAUAUGCAGAUCUUUGCAUAUCUAUAACCGUAUCUGUUUCGAAUUGUCCACGUUUUUUGGACAGCCCGAGGAUGUGUAGGUGGGUUUACUAUCCAUGGUCUAUUCCGGUCCGAGAUAGAGUUUCGGCAGCACCUCCAUGGUGUUCUCCAAAUACACAAUCUCCUAUCAAGGACGUGUAUUUGGAGAACAGCGGGGAGGUGCUGCCGAAAUGCUCUCUCGGGUCGAAGUAGACCAUGGAUACUAAACCCACCUACACAUCCUCGGGUGGGAUUAGGAACGUGUAUAUGCAAUGUGAAUUUUGUAUUACUCGCUUAUAUGCUAGAGGAUGGAGGAUCGUCAGUGGAUGUACACAGGUCGCACUAGUCAGAAUACGUUGACCAAUGAAUGGAUUGACAAGAUGGAUGCUUUCUUGGAACGGGCGUUUGCAAGUGUCAAAGGAGCUAGAUCUACUUGGUGUCUGUGUAGCAAAUGUGGAAACAUGCGUCGGCAAACCAAGCUAGACAUGGGCAAACAUCUGGUGAAGAACGGAUUUACGUCAGACUACACCAGAUGGAUCUACCAUGGUGAAUCUGAUCGUGGUAGAGAGGAGGUCUUGAGACAACGCAUCGAGGAAUAUGAUGAUGAUGCCGGGGUGGGAGACAUGUUAAAUGACUAUCAUGAAGCACACUUCGAAGAAGCACGUAGGGAGGAGGAGCCAGAGGCUACCGCAAAGGCUUAUUACGAAAUGUUGUCUGCGGCACAGCAACCCCUUCACGGCCAUACCAAGGUUUCUCAACUAGAUGCCAUUGCACGCCUAAUGGCUAUGAAGUCUCAGUUUAGUUUGAGUCGAGACGCGUUUGAUAUUAUGUUGACAGUUUUUGGAAGCCUGCUCCCGGUUGGUCACAUAUUGCCAAAGAGCAUGUAUGAGGCACAGAAACUCCUUCGUGCACUUAAGAUGCCAUACGAGCAUAUACAUGCUUGCCUGAAGGGAUGCAUCUUAUUUAGGAAAGAGUAUGCGGAAGCAAAAUACUGUGUGAAGUGCGAAUCGUCUAGGUUUCUGGAGGUAGACUCUGGUGAUGGUCAGAAAAAGCAGCUCGCAAUUCCCAUGAAGGUUCUACGGUAUCUUCCUUUCAUACCGAGGAUCCAACGGCUUUUCAUGACUGAAGAAUCCGCGAAACAGAUGACAUGGCACAAAAACGGACGUCGAUAUAAUCCCGAGAAGCUAGUACACCCAUCCGAUGCUGAAGCCUGGAAAAGCUUUGAUGCGAUUUAUCCUGCAAAAGCUCUAGAGGCUCGUAACGUACGCGUUGCGUUGGCAACAGAUGGGUUCAAUCCUUAUGGAAUGACGGCCACCCCGUACACCUGUUGGCCCAUUUUUGUUAUCCCCCUGAACCUCCCCCCUGGCGUCCUCUUUCAACGACAUAAUACAUUCUUGUCGUUGAUAAUUCCAGAGCAUCCAGGGAAUAAUAUGAGUGUGUACAUGGAGCCUUUGAUUGAUGAUUUGCUUCGUGCUUGGGAGGAAGGGGUAUGGACAUAUGACCGAUCUACAAAGACAAACUUCAAGAUGCAUGUUUGGUACCAGUACUCCCUGCAUGACUUGUCAGCAUAUGGGAUUUUCUGCGGAUGGUGUGUUCACGGGAAGUUCCCAUGCCCAGUGUGUAAAGCAUCUUUGAAGUUCAUUUGGUUGUCGAAAGGUGGCAAAUAUUCUUCGUUCGACAAACAUCGACAAUUCCUCCCUCCUGACCAUCCAUUCAGACGAGACAUCAAGAACUUUACAAAAGAUGUCGUAGUUAUAGACCCCGCAUCACUGAUGAUGACAGGGGCCGCAGUUCGUGCUCAGUUAGACGCUCUCGAGGUCAAUAAUGAAGAAGGUGGUUUUUGGGAUAUGGCGAGCAACAUGCUUGGACGCAGAAGUCGUGCUUGUGGAACCCUCCCUAUUUUGAUGACCUUCUUGUUCCACAUAACAUUGAUGUAAUGCACACGGUGUCGGUGUUUUAGACCGGCAACCCGCCUAGGGGGUACCCUAGGUGGUCUUUUAUGCGGUAAGGGUCGUCGAGAAUCAAGGAAUCAAUGGUGACGCAAGGAACACGAUUUAGACAGGUUCGGGCUGCUAGAUCGCGUAAUACCCUACCUCCUGUGUGUUGGUUUGUAUUGAUGUAUGUUCUGGUCCUGAAGGAUCUGUUUUGAGGGGGGUCCCUGCCCGGCCUUAUAUACCCGGGAGGGCAGGGUUACAAGUCUGAGUCCUAGUCGGGUACUAUUACAGAGUUCUACUCGGAACCAACCCGAGUAGUUUUCCAUAAACAUACAAGACUAGUCCAAGUAGGAUACGCCCAUCCUUGUUCUGAUCACGUCCGAGUACGUCCCAUAGUGGGCCGCUCAAGGCCUACUCGUGGGUUCGGGGAGUAGUCCCGACAAGCCCCCGAGUACUUAAUAGUCGUGCGCCAUAGUCUUGGGCGCUGCAGGCACUACCCGAGUAGUUUUGCGGACUGAAGUGCCAGAGUACUGUUGCAUGGCUGGAAGGUACUCUUUCUUCAGCUUCGAGUUGUCUCCGUCCCGAGUAGAUUUUAUAUGGUAGUGCGAUGUCAAUCACACUCCAUAUGGAGUAGCCCCCGAGCCUUAGGUUGAGUCGAAGACUCAGGCUUAGGGUCAAACCAUAUUUUGCCCAUUUUACCCUUGGAGAUUUUGAAAAAGAAAAAACUGACCAACGGGUAUGGUACCCGUAGCCCCCGAGCACUUAGGCGAUUCCUGUCGUUGAAGUGGUCAUUAAUCCGUUGACUGUAGUAGCCGUUGGGUGUUUAUGGCGAUUAAUACGUGAUUUGAUCUGUCCGUUGCGCAACUGACGCGUCAAAUCCGGAGCCAGCGGAGAUAAAUCUGGAAGAAGCCCCCUUUGCAGUUGCCAUGAUGCCGUACGGGCAUUAGAUCUGUUUCGUCUUCCUCCUCCGUGCUUUCGCUCGCUGUGUUACCUCCGCCAGUGCUGCCGCCUCCGCCACUGCCACUUUUUGGGUUAGAUCCGAGUGGAAGCCUCUUCCCUAAGGCGAGGUUGAAACCAUCGAAUGCGCUCCAAGAAGAUGGGCAAGAAACCCGAGAAGAUCCAAGGCAAGGCUCUAGCGACGAGCAUGGUUAGAUCCAAGAAGGGGAAGGAGUUGGUGCUGCCGGCACCGAAGGUGGGGCCAACGAACCAGACUGCUCCGCCGCUGCCUGGGGCAACUUGGCAACACUCAGUGUUUAAGGAAGAGGGAGUCCAAGCGCUAGUCGACGCCAAGCUCCUUCAACCUAAGGAAAUCGUGCAGUGGCGUCCCGCAUUUCCCAAUGCGUGGCAGUUUGAAGAACAUCCGGCGGAAACGGUGAUGCUUGCUCACUUCAUGGAAAGGGGACUGGCCGUGCCUACCUCCGACAUUUUCAGAGGUAUUCUCGAGUACUAUAAUCUUCAGCUCAUCCACUUGAAUCCCAAUGGAGUACUGCACAUGGCCAUCUUUGUUCAUCUGUGCGAAGUUUUCCUGGGAGUACCUCCAAGUCUCGAGCUAUUCAGAAAAUUGUUCCGUUGCAAGCCUCAGCCGAGUGCCCAGCGGACGGAGGUCUUUGGAGGUGCUGGGUUCCAACUUAGGAACUCGAGUGCAUAUAUUGAGUACAAUCUGACCGACUCCCAUGGGGAUUGGAAGAAAAGAUGGUUCUACAUUGGGAACCAUGAUCCUCGCUUGCCUGUGGUGACUGGUCACGCGCCCAACCAUGCAGAAAACUGGAUAAGCGAGCCUGAAGAUACCCCGGAGCUCGAUCUUCAGAUGCAGCAGAUCACUGAGUUGAAAGCACUCAGUCUGACUGGGAUGAAUGUGGCAGCCAGCUUUCCGAAAAGAAGGGUCCAGCCACUUCAAAAAUGCGCUCACCCGGGAAGUGAGUACAAAGGUCUGAAAGAUCCAUCGCGUAUGUCUAAGGAGGACAUAUCUGACGAUGACGUGGAGGCGUUGCUGGCGAAAUUUUUCAGGAACUAUCAGGGAGUACCAGUAAUCCCUGCAACACUUCGCCAGUAUGAAUCCUGGUACGAGCCAGAGGUGGUAAGUAUUUCCAUCCUGACUUGUUUUCUUUGUGAUUCUUGUUGCUGACACCGUUUGUUGUUUAGAAGUCCCGAGUACUUAACGGCUAUGUGGCGCAGCCGGAAGAAGAGUCAGAGACCGCCGUCGAGGAAUCAGAGGACGAACCUUCUCCUCCUGUCAAGAGGCGCAGAGUAGUCCGCAAGAUGGUUGCAGCUAAGUUUGUUGCAACCACUGAGAAGUCUCGGGGUACCAAGGUAUGUAUUCGAUAACUUGUAUGUUACUGAUGAACUUGAGAUGCUUUAUUGAUGUGGUGAAUCAUGUCUUGGUUCAUGAAGGCUGUAGAUGAGACUAUCUCUGAAGAGAUAGCCGCGUCCGACCCUGAAGUCGGUGAGGCGGCCGUUGACACAUUGCUGGAGAAAGUGCCGUCAACAGCUGUGGUAGCCCCCGAGUUAACCGCGCCAACUCCAUCAGCUGCCAUGCCGCCUACUGCUGAUCAGGCGGUUCUAGGGCUGCCUGCUGGAGUGGCAAAGGAGGUGUCACCAGUACUUGCUACUGGCACCUUGCUAUCAAAUGUGAUCGCCAGUGGUAAGCGCUGUCCUUGUCAAAUGUAGUCAUUUGAGUAGUACUGUAGUCUUGACUUCAGUUUUGUAGGUCUUGGUGAGAAAACGGCGCCGGCGGCCGUUCCCGCGGCUCCGAGUGCUCGGCCGCCUAUUGCCGAGAGGAAACGUGUGCGACUGCCGCCACGUUCAACCCGGUGAGCUCCCUUGUCCUUUUGAACGAUGUUGCAUUGUCUGGAAAUCAUGUAGUAACACUUUGGCGGUGCAGGGUGUUGGAGGUAUGCCCUAGAGGCAAUCAUAGAGAUGAUGAUAUUCCAUUUGUAUCCAUGAUUUGUAUAUUGUGUUCAUUGAAUAUCCAUUAAAGGCUACUUGAAUUGAUUUGCAAUUAUGUGAAUUGUAUGUGAAACUCUUUACUUGUAUGGUUAUUCUAAAGUUGUCCCUAGUCGGAGUUCAUGUGAGGACACACAUGAAUAUUAGACUAGCACAUGUAUUAGUUGAUGACUAUGUUUCACAAGUCAUGGACAUGGAGAUGUUGAACUAAUAAUGUGGACACAUGUGGAGACAUGUGUUAGGACUGACCCAACACGAGAAGUAGUUCUCUCUUUAAACAACAUAUACGCUUUGUCCUUAGACCUGAGAUUGUCGCAUGUAUUCUAGAUGUGGAUCGACCUACUUAGGGGCUAUCAAACGCUACGCCGUAACAGGGUAGUUAUAAAGGUAGCUUUCGGGUUUGUCAAGAAGCAUGCUAUGAGACAUGGUCAAUCAAGAAGGGAUUUGCCCCUCUCUGAUUGAGAGUGAUAUCUCUGGGCCCUUCGAGUGAUCGGAUCCGAAAAUGCAUGGCCAUGCUACGUACGGUUAAGAGUUAACCUACAAAGGGAUUCCGAAUCACAGGAUCGAGAAAGAGCGGUCGGCUUGAAGCUAGACCAAAUAUCGUGAGGCAAAGGGAAUAGCAUGUAUAUUAUGUUGUGAUGGUUCAUCUGAUAUGAUCUUCGUGUGCGUAUAGGAGUUGGCACGUCUUGCUAGAGGCCGCUACCGACUAUUGGGCCGAGUAGGAGUACUCGGGCCAUGUCUAUACGUAUCCGAACCCAAAGGGUCGCACACUUAAGGGGCUGGAAGCCCAAUUCGGAUUUGAUCCGAGUUGGAUUAGGUUUAGGAGUAUUAAUGGGCCUCGGAUCCAGAGGCCCAUCAGGAACCCCUAUAAAUAGAGGGGUGGGGGCGCCCUAGGGUUACACACCUUUUGGCUGAACACACUUGCCGCGCCUCCCACGCCCUCACCUGUUGCAACUCGCAGAUCUAGCAGUCCGUCUUGCGACGCUUCCUCCCUGCACGUGUGGAUACCUUGGAGGUGUUGCGCCUGCAGCACUUGGACGAGCCAUCGACGAGCCGCCGACGAGCCACGACGAGCCGACGACGAGCCGCGGCACCGGAGGCGAUCUUGCUGUGCACGUGGACGAGCUGCUGAGGAGCUGCUGGACGUGAUCGACUACGUACGACUACGUUGAUCGACUACGUACGACUACGUGAUCGUCUUCACUGCACCGACGCAUAUCUACAUCUUCCGCACCAGUAGUGCGUCGAGUGGUAAUCCCGUGAUCCUCAUACGGCAGUUCUUCCUGGUCAUACGCGGUAGAAAUUUUGAUUUACGCUAGCGUAGCCUACCUCGUAUCCCAACAGUGGUAUCAGAGCCGUAGCUGCUUAGUUUUGGAUUUGGGAUGUGUGCAUAUGGAGAUAUGCGAGUUCUCUGUUUGAUCUAUGUCCUGAUUUCGUGCCCUUGCUGCAAUGGUAGUGUAACGACAUACUCCUACCGGUCGGUUUCCGCCAUCGGAGUUAAGUGAUACACGUAAACCCAGUUGCAGUGAGGGAAGAUCAAUAUGAUUGGUCUAAUCGAGAUCCAGGGUCAUACGCCAGGCGCAUUAGAUGUGAAAUAGUAGAUGUGAUCUACUGCCGGGGUCGGGAUUUUGCCGUAUGCGUAUGCUUCGGUAAAUCAGCCGUAACUUUUCGGUACGAUCUCGGAUCGGGGCGAUUUCUAUACGAAAAUUGAUCUACAGAAAAAGUUACACAUGAAAUUCAACGCUUUGUCGUUUUCGGCGAAAUUAGAUUUGCCAAAUUCGGCUUGGAAGAUGGAGUUUCGGGCCUCCGAAGUUUGGAACGUUAGGACGCCUAACUCUCUUUUGCAGGAUGUAUGUAUCUUGUGAUCAGUAUGGCCCCUUGUGUAUGUGAUGCAUGUGUGUAACUCAUUCGUGACCUGCGUGUCGCGCGUACGGCAACACGGCAGGAGCCAUAUGUGUUGUCACUUUAUUGUAUUUGAUGGUCUGCGUGCCAAUCUGUGAUGAUCCAAGCAACUAUGUAAUCUUCAUUACUAGAUUCUUUACUAGCUAUUAGGCAUAAUAGCAUGCUCUAGUUCUUGGAGGACUCAUCACCAGGAGGAUGGCGCACAUGGAACAUGGAGAUGGAGAUCGCCAUGGUGAACAGGUUCUAUGGAGAUGGAGAUCACCAUAUGAAAAAUGGGCCAUACUGUGUCACAACUGUGUGAAUGCUAUUCUGUUUAUGUUUUACUUUCUGCAUGCUGUGAUGUUAGAAGUAGAACGAUCCCUCGCAAAGUUUAAGUUAGUAUGCCCUCCCAACUAAAACUUGCACCGUCCCAUGUCUUGUACACUUAGUGGUGGGUCUAUGAAAUUAGGGUGCCACUAGUUUUCCUUGACUAGACGGGUUUGUGUCGGACACUUACACGCAUAAGGGUUGGUUAGCUUAACGAGGUCAUCUUAACGGUUAAGGACCUUGGGGCAUAAAGGUUGGGCGCCGAGACAUAGAGAUGUCACCCAACAACAGGAGUCAUAUGUGAUAUGAUUAGCAAAAGUUGCUUACCGAUCUACCUCGUUUGCUAGCGGUGAUGCUAAAGCUCACUAGUAGACUUGUUAGUUGUGGAUCCUGAAUCACUAAGUUUCAAUAGAGGGAUAUUGAUUUUAGUGGGAGUAGAUUCUGUUAAAAUAGUUUAAUGUAAUUUGCUCUAUCAUGGAUACGUUUGUCUUAGUGUAUUUUGCAUUACUUUUGUUGUAGAUUAAAUGGCACCUAGCAACACCACCACAUCGUUUGCUUUGCGUUCGGUCCUUGAGAAGGACAAGUUGAAUGGAACAAACUACUCGGAUUGGAUCCGCAACCUGAGAAUUAUUCUCAGGGCUGAGAAAAAGGAAGAUGUUCUAGACAACCCACUACCAGAAGAACCUGCUGAGGAUGCACCCGCUGCUUCUAAGAAUGCUUACAAGAAAGCAUGUGAUGCUAACCUCGAAGUAAGCUGCCUUAUGCUUGCUUGCAUGGAACCCGAGCUGCAGAUGCAGUUUGAAACAAACCAUGAGGCGCACGAUAUGAUCGUGGCGCUUAGAGACAUGUUCCAAACACAGGCCAGGACUGAAAGGUUCAAUGUGUCUAAGGCCUUUGUUGAGAGCAAGCUAGCAGAAGGCGCAGCAGUAGGACCACACGUAAUCAAGAUGGUUGGUUACACUCAACGGUUGGAGAAGCUAGGCUUCCCACUGGGCCAAGAGUUGGCCACUGAUUUCAUUCUUUCAUCUCUUCCGGCUAGCUAUGGGAACUUCAUCUCGAACUACCAUAUGCAUGGGACGGAGAAGGGUCUGAAUGAGCUGUGUGGCAUGCUUAAAACAGUAGAGGCUGACAUCAAGAAAAGCGCUAGUACCAGCCAUGUGAUGGCGAUACAGAACAAGCCCAGCUUUAAGAAGAAGGGCAAUUCUUGGAAGAAGAAGGGCAAGGCUGGAACGUCCAAGCCAAACCCACCGCCCAAGGCUAAAGCUGGACCUGCUCCAGAUAAAGAGUGCUUUAACUGUCAUGAACUUGGUCACUGGAAGAGAAACUGCAAGCAGUACCUAGCUUCGUUGAAGAACGGCGGAAGUAAGAGUACUUCUACCUCAGGUACGCUUGUUGUUUAUGUUAUAGACAACAUAUUUCUCGCUGAUACAGUUAUUAAUUCUUGGGUAUUUGAUACCGGAUCGGUUGCUCAUAUUUGCAAUUCGAUGCAGGGAAUGAUAAGAAGUAGAAGCGUGGAAAGAGGAGAAGUUGAUUUCCGCGUGGGCAAUAAUGCAAGAGUUACUGCUUUGACCGUCGGGACGAUGCAACUCCACCUCCCGUCAGGAUUUAUUAUGGAGUUGAAUAAUUGUUAUUUUGUUCCUAGUUUAAGUCGAAACAUUUUAUCUCCUUCAUGUUUGAUGAAGGAUGGUUAUUCAUUUGCGAGUGAAAACAAUGGUUGUGUGAUCUCUAAGAAUAAUAUGUUUAUGGCUUUUGCACCCAUUGUGAAUGGAUUAUUUGUUUUAAAUCUUGAUGGUUCACCUGUCUGUAAUGUAAGUGCUAAAAGGCCUCGGCCUAAUGAUUUGAGUCCUACCUACUUGUGGCAUUGUCGUUUGGGUCAUAUAAGUGAUAAGCGCAUGAAGAAGCUCCAUUCUGAUGGACUUCUAACUUCGUUUGAUUUUGAAUCAUACGAGACAUGUGAGGCUUGCUUGCUAGGCAAGAUGACCAAGACACCUUUCACAGGUUUUCCUGAGAGAGCAGUAGACUUGUUGGAACUCGUACAUAGUGAUGUAUGCGGACCAAUGAGCACGACGGCUAGAGGAGGAUUCCAAUACUUCAUAACUUUCACUGAUGAUUUUAGUAGAUAUGGCUAUGUCUACUUGAUGAGGCACAAGUCUGAGACCUUUGAAAAGUUCAAGGAAUUUCAGAAUGAAGUUGAAAAUCAGCGUGGCAAGAAAAUUAAGGCCUUACGAUCUGAUCGUGGAGGCGAGUAUUUGAGCCACGAGUUUAGCAAUCAUCUAAAGAGUUGCGGAAUUGUUCCACAACUUACGCCGCCUGGAACACCUCAGAGAAACGGUGUGUCCGAGCGACAUAAUCGAACUUUGUUAGACAUGGUUCGAUCAAUGAUGAGCCAGUCGGACCUACCGUUGUCAUUUUGGGGAUACGCUCUAGAAACAGCAGCUUUCACACUUAAUAGGGUACCAUCUAAAUCCGUAGUUAAGACACCAUAUGAGAUGUGGACUGGAAAGGUUCCUAGUUUGUCUUUUCUAAAGAUUUGGGGAUGUGAAGUGUUUGUCAAGCGACUUCAGUCGGACAAGAUCACACCCAAGUCGGAUAAGUGCAUUUUCGUGGGAUAUCCAAAGGAAACUUUGGGAUAUUAUUUCUACAACCGAUCAGAAGGCAAAGUGUUUAUCGCUCGGAACGGGGUUUUCCUAGAGAAAGAGUUUCUCAAAGGAGAAAAGAGUGGAAAGACAGUGCAUCUUGAAGAAGUUCAAGAUGAGCCAAUCGGGCAAGAAUCAAUGAGUGAUGCUAACGUAGCAGAAUAAGUUGAGAUACCCAUGGCAAGAGAAGCACCACCACAACCACGAAGGUCAGCAAGGCUCCGCGAAAUGCGAGAAAUAUUAUUGUUGGACAAUGAUGAGCCUGCGACAUAUGCAGAAGCAAUGAUGGACCCAGACUCCGAAAAAUGGCAGAGUGCCAUGCAAUCCGAAAUAGAGUCCAUGGGAGACAAUCAAGUUUGGAACUUGGUUGACCCGCCUGAUGGUGUUAAAGCCAUAGAGUGCAAGUGGAUCUAUAAGAAGAAAAAGGACAUGGAUGGAAAUGUUCACAUCUACAAAGCACGACUUGUCGCAAAAGGUUUUCGACAAGUUCAAGGAGUUGACUACGACGAGACCUUCUCGCCCGUAGUGAUGCUUAAGUCCAUUCGGAUUAUUCUAGCUAUAGCUGCAUAUUUCGAUUAUGGGAUAUGGCAGAUGGAUGUCAAGACAGCUUUCCUGAAUGGAAACCUAGCUGAGGACGUGUAUAUGAUACAGCCCGAGGGUUUUGUCGAUCCGAAAAAUGCUGGAAAGGUAUGCAAGCUUCAGAGAUCCAUUUAUGGAUUGAAGCAAGCAUCUAGGAGUUGGAACAUUCGUUUUGAUGAAGUGGUCAAAGGGUUUGACUUCACCAAAAACGAAGAAGAGUCUUGUGUUUACAAGAAGGUUAGUGGGAGCUCUGUAGUAUUUCUAAUCUUAUAUGUGGAUGACAUAUUACUGAUUGGAAAUAACAUUCCUAUGCUUGAGUCCGUAAAGACUUCACUGAAAAAUAGUUUUUCGAUGAAGGACUUAGGGGAAGCGGCAUAUAUUCUGGGUAUUAAGAUCUAUAGAGAUAGAUCGAGAAGGCUUAUAGGUUUAAGCCAAGAUACUUACAUUGACAAAGUGUUGAAGCAGUUCAGCAUGGAAGAGGCAAAGAAAGGGUUCUUGCCUAUGUCACAUGGCAUACAUCUCAGCAAGACUCAGUGUCCUUCGACUGCUGAUGAGCGGGAUCGCAUGAGUAGAGUGCCAUAUGCCUCGGCUAUUGGAUCUAUCAUGUAUGCAAUGAUAAGUACUCGCCCAGAUGUUUCAUAUGCGCUAAGUAUGACAAGUAGACACCAAUCUGAUCCAGGUGAGAGUCACUGGACAGCGGUGAAAAACAUUCUUAAGUACUUGAGAAGGACUAAAGAUAUGUUCCUCGUCUAUGGAGGUCAGGAGGAGCUCGUUGUAACAGGUUACACCGAUGCUAGUUUCCAAACCGACAGAGAUGAUUCAAAGUCACAAUCAGGAUUUGUGUUCACGCUAAAUGGUGGUGCUGUUAGUUGGAAGAGUUCCAAGCAGGAGACGGUGGCCGAUUCUACGACAGAAGCCGAGUACAUCGCGGCUUCGGAAGCCGCGAAGGAAGGUGUUUGGAUAAGGAAUUUCCUGAUUGAGCUUGGUGUGUUCCCGAAUGCGUCCAGCCCAUUGAAUCUCUACUGUGAUAACAAUGGGGCAAUUGCGCAAGCAAAGGAGCUAAGGAACCACCAGAAGAACAAACACGUAAUGCGGCGAUUUCAUCUCAUUCGAGACUUCGUUAACCGGGGUGAGAUCAAGAUAUGCAAAAUACACACGGAUCUGAACAUUUCUGAUCCGUUGACAAAACCACUCCCGCAGGCUAAGCAUGAUGCGCAUGUAAGAGCUAUGGGUAUUAGGUACCUUCUAGAUUGACUCUAGUGCAAGUGGGAGACUGUUGGAGGUAUGCCCUAGAGGCAAUCAUAGAGAUGAUGAUAUUCCAUUUGUAUCCAUGAUUUGUAUAUUGUGUUCAUUGAAUAUCCAUUAAAGGCUACUUGAAUUGAUUUGCAAUUAUGUGAAUUGUAUGUGAAACUCUUUACUUGUAUGGUUAUUCUAAAGUUGUCCCUAGUCGGAGUUCAUGUGAGGACACACAUGAAUAUUAGACUAGCACAUGUAUUAGUUGAUGACUAUGUUUCACAAGUCAUGGACAUGGAGAUGUUGAACUAAUAAUGUGGACACAUGUGGAGACAUGUGUUAGGACUGACCCAACACGAGAAGUAGUUCUCUCUUUAAACAACAUAUACGCUUUGUCCUUAGACCUGAGAUUGUCGCAUGUAUUCUAGAUGUGGAUCGACCUACUUAGGGGCUAUCAAACGCUACGCCGUAACAGGGUAGUUAUAAAGGUAGCUUUCGGGUUUGUCAAGAAGCAUGCUAUGAGACAUGGUCAAUCAAGAAGGGAUUUGCCCCUCUCUGAUUGAGAGUGAUAUCUCUGGGCCCCUCGAGUGAUCGGAUCCGAAAAUGCAUGGCCAUGCUACGUACGGUUAAGAGUUAACCUACAAAGGGAUUCCGAAUCACAGGAUCGAGAAAGAGCGGUCGGCUGAAGCUAGACCAAAUAUCGUGAGGCAAAGGGAAUAGCAUGUAUAUUAUGUUGUGAUGGUUCGUCUGAUAUGAUCUUCGUGUGCGUAUAGGAGUUGGCACGUCUUGCUAGAGGCCGCUACCGACUAUUGGGCCGAGUAGGAGUACUCGGGCCAUGUCUAUACGUAUCCGAACCCAAAGGGUCGCACACUUAAGGGGCUGGAAGCCCAAUUCGGAUUUGAUCCGAGUUGGAUUAGGUUUAGGAGUAUUAAUGGGCCUCGGAUCCAGAGGCCCAUCAGGAACCCCUAUAAAUAGAGGGGUGGGGGCGCCCUAGGGUUACACACCUUUUGGCUGAACACACUUGCCGCGCCUCCCACGCCCUCACCUGUUGCAACUCGCAGAUCUAGCAGUCCGGCUUGCGACGCUUCCUCCCUGCACGUGUGGAUACCUUGGAGGUGUUGCGCCUGCAGCACUUGGACGAGCCAUCGACGAGCCGCCGACGAGCCACGACGAGCCGACGACGAGCCGCGGCACCGGAGGCGAUCUUGCUGUGCACGUGGACGAGCUGCUGAGGAGCUGCUGGACGUGAUCGACUACGUACGACUAUGUUGAUCGACUACGUACGACUACGUGAUCGUCUUCACUGCACCGACGCAUAUCUACAUCUUCCGCACCAGUAGUGCGUCGAGUGGUAAUCCCGUGAUCCUCAUACGACAGUUCUUCCUGGUCAUACGCGGUAGAAAUUUUGAUUUACGCUAGCGUAGCCUACCUCGUAUCCCAACACAGGGAUGCAGAGGAAACUAUCCCCGUAGAAACAGGGGUACUACCGGACCCUUUGGCCACAACAUCUGUUCCUUUUGAGGACAUGAUUGUUGAAGAAGUUCCCGAGGUUACCCCGGGUCGUCUUGGAGCUACGAUGUCGAUGCUUCAAGACGUGAUUCGCUCAGUAGAGGAGCCUGCUGCUGCAUCAGGCUCGGGAAGUGCUGGCCUGUCCUCAUCCUCUGGCGGAGUGCUGGUUGUAGUUGAGAAAUCCAAGCAAGUGACUGCUCCAGGUAAAUGCCUGUAUUUUGUUAUUGUAGUUGUAGUCGGUAGCUGAUAUGGUGAAUGUUGUAGGUGCUUCUCUGGGUACAGUUCCUCUUGUGGCGAGUACCCAAAGGCCAAUACUCAGCCCGCCUUCUGAUUUGGAGCUUCAGAGGGCCAUGGAUGUGUUCCGGGGCGUCCAGGUAGAUAUUGCUGAUGUUACUGCAGGUUCCGAGUAGUCGUGAGGCGUGAAACUUACCACAACGCACUCGGACCUUUUCAGGAAAGAAACCACCAGCUGGAGCAGGAGUGCGCCCGACUGAAAGAAGCUCUUCGGGUUCAUGAAGUUGGGGCGAAAUCCUAUGUCGUGGAACGCGCGGAUCACGCCGUUCUGCAGGAGAAACUCUAAAGCCACUAUAAAUCCUUGAACAAGAAGUAUCAAGGUAAGCAUUGCGACUACUUUGGGUGUGUCCAACUGUAGUUGGCGGUGUCCUGAGUUCUUUUUGCUUUGUAGAGCUCAAGAAAUAGGAGGCGUCUGCAAAGGAACCAAGUCAUUGAUUGGAGGAACGCUCAUGACCGAGUGGCAAAUGAAGCCGAACAUCUUCGAGCCGCGCUCGCUGAAGCAGAAGCUGCAUGCGACCAGCGGGACCAAAAGAUGCAGAACGGCGUGAUGCUUGCCAUGGCCAUGGUGGCAUGCAGGGAUCAUGCCUAGACCUUGGGACGACUUCGUGGCGAACUUCAAGAACUGUCUGGAGCGGCCGAAGAUUUGGUGAACGCCAUAGCCCCCGUGGAAGGCGUAGGGCCGCAAUCACUAGUAGAGCGACUAAGAGCUGCCCCGAGUAAAGUAGCAGGACUUUGCAGGAUUGUUUGCAAACAGGUGCUUGCAGUUGUGAAGUCCUACUACCCGAGGGCAAACUUGGCGGCAGCUGGUGAUGGCAUUGCUCGCAACUGCACAAAGGAGGCCUAUGCGCAGUACCUUGAAGAGGCGGAGCCCAUUGCAGCAAAGAUGUCGGAGUUCGUCUCUUUAGAAGAACUUUCAGCUUUUUGUGUGUACUCUUGUUCUUGUACCAAGUAUGUUGAUACUUUUGAAUAUCAAGAUUUUAGAGUUUGGGGUUCGUUUGUCUUGCGAAAAAAUGUUGUUGAAUCCCGAAAUGUUGCAACUCUGCUGUGCCCGACCCUUUGAGGGAGUAGCUCCGCCUCGCCUGACCCUGAGUCCUGGGGUCGGGUGCGCCCGACCCUUCGCGGGUGGAACUCCGCCUCGUCCGACCCCGAGUCCUGGGGUCGGAGGCGUCCGACCCCGCGCGGGUGGAACUCCGCCUCGCCCGACCUUAGGCCCCAGGAUCGGAGUAGUCGGAGCCCCCGUCGUGUAGGCUAAACUUGGCUUGUAGUAGUCCCAAGUAUCGAGUAGUCGUAAUGCUGUUUGAGUACUCGUCUUCUGAGGGACACGGGUGUACUAUACUCAGCUAUCCUUUGUUGUCGUACGGGUGUACUGAGCUCUUUCGUCCGUUGCGGAGGCACAUGUGUAUUGUGCUUCUUUGUCUGUUGCAGCAUGAGUGCAAUCACAUGGGCAGAGUCAGGAGUUGUCAGACCUAUUGAUCACGGGUGCACGGUAACUCUUGGGCCGGUGGUAGUUGGAGCUUUCGGCUAUAAAUAGGGCCAUCUGGUGGGCGAGCCAACUCAAACUCCUGAGUAGCAAUGGAUUGCCUACGGUUGCUUCUGUUUGAGUGUAGAGAGCCAGCAAAGAGCACACCGGUGCUAGAAGAUUCCUCGUAGAUUAAGGCCACCUUGCCUCCAUAGGCUCUUGCGCUCGUAGGGAUAGCCGCGAUGCUAGAAGAAUCCUCGUAGGAGGGUUCGUCGCCUGUCUCAUCUCGUAGCUACUGAUCCAGCGAAGUACGCGCUGGAACUCGUAACGAGUGAUGGUUGAUGAGUGCUGCGGUCUUCAUCCCGCUCUGAAGGAUGGUGGAGGUGCGGCCGUAGAGCAGAUAGGCUUAGCAAGGCUAGCAAAAGAGCAGCCUUGGUUCCCUCUAGGCGCGUCUUCCUGGUUUUGACAUUGCCGCUGUCCUGGUAUUGGCGGUAAUGGAGUACCUGGACGUGCCUUGGGUAGGACGCCAGGGCGUGGCUGCGUUUUGCGCAGCUUCCUUGCGUGUAGGCCCCUCCUGCGGUCGGCAGACCUGAGUGUCCUUGUGAUAUAGUAAAAGCCUGAGACUUAAAUGCAGCCCGCUAGUAGGCAGUUGCUUGUAGUCUUUGUUGAGCUGAGUCCUUGUAUUUGUAUGUAAUUUGAUGUACUCUUGUUUCAAUAAAGAAGAGUUGUUGUAUUGAUAGCGCGCUGAAGCGAACACCCCUUGAAGCCGAUAGCCGAGUAGUCGUCCCGAGUAGUUGCCUGGAAGUGAGUACUCGAGUGCUGCUACGGGUAAUAGCGACAAAGGUGUUCUAUAUUCCAAGAGUUUGGAACCUGUUCUCCUGAGAGCUCUUGGAGUCUGUAAGAUCUGGGUCCUGUAACCUUUGAUACGAUGUAAGGGCCUUCCCAUGGUGAAUUGAGUUUGUGCAAUCCUGAUGUGUCUUGAAUAUGCUUAAGGACCAUAUCGCCCGAGUUAAAAGAACUUUCCUUGACGUUGCGAUCGUGAUAACACCUUAAACCGUCAAGGUAUCUGGCAGAUUGCACCAGUGCUGCGCAUCUUGCUUCUUCCAAACUGUCGAUAUCCGUUCGCCGUGUUUCUAUGGCAAGCUCUUCGUCAUAUUGUUCGACGGAUGGUGAUUGCCACAUGAUGUCGGCGGGUAGUAUGGCUUCUGAGCCAUAUACCAGGAAGUAAGGUGAUAGCCCCGUAGUCUUGCAUGGUUGGGUACGUAGGCCCCACAAGGCAUUGGGUAACUCUUUGAGCCAUCGGCCACCUUUGGUGUUGCCGACGUCAUGUAGUCGUUUCUUUAGAGCAUCGAGUAUCAUGCCAUUGGCACGCUCGACUUGACCAUUGGCUCGCGGAUGAGCAACCGAGACGUAGCGGACGUCGAUGCCGUUGUUCUCGCAAUAUUCCCAGAAGUCAUGAUUGUUGAAGUUUGACCCGAGAUCGGUGAUAAUCCUGUUGGGAAAACCAUAACGAUGUAUGAUUUCAUCCAAGAAGUCGAGAACUCGGUCUGCCUUUGGGCAAGUGACUGGUUUGACCUCGAUCCACUUGGUGAACUUGUCAAUUGCCACGAGUACUCUGUUGAAUCCUCCUGGCGUAGUUGGUAACGGGCCAAUCAUGUCGAGCCCCCAGCAGGCAAAUGGCCAUGUUGGAGGUAUUGUGACCAGCUUGUAAGCCAGCACAUGUUGUUGUUUUGUGAAGAAUUGACAACCUUUGCACUUCUGGACUAGUUGCUUGGCGUCGGCCAGAGCCAUCAGCCAGUAGAACCCUGCUCUAAAAGCCUUGCCGACUAUUGUCCUUGAAGAGGCGUGAUUGCCGCAGAUUCCUCUGUGUAUUUCCUCUAGGAUUUCUUGGCCAUCUUCUCUGGUGACGCACUUCAUGAGUACUCCAGAUGAUGCGCCUUUCCUGUAGAGCUUGUCUCCGACUAGAACGUAAUUCUUUACUCGUCGAGAGAUUUGCUCAGAUUUAUUCUUGUCGGAUGGUAGCUGGUGAUCUUUGAUUUAGUCGAUGAAGGGUGUCCUCCAGUCGACUUUUAUCAUCAUGAUCUCUCGAGAACCGUCAAUAGUCGGGACUACCGGUGGUGUGACCUGUUCAGGUAUGGACGGCUUGCGUAGUUCGUGUAUGAAAAUUCCUGCUGGAACUUCUGCACGAGUUGAGCCCAUUUUGGACAAGACGUUGGCGGCAACGUUGUUGUCGCGGACGAUGUGAUGGAACUCCAAGCCGGAGAAUUUGUUUUCCAGUUUACGAACUUCUUUGCAAUAAGCGUCCAUGUUGUCCUUGUUGCGGUCCCACUCGUCAUUGACCUGGUUUAUGACGACUAGGGAGUCGCCAUACACCAGUAGUCGUUUGAUGCCGAGGGAGAUCACAAGGCGAAGGCCGUGUAGCAGUGCUUCGUACUCGGCUUCGUUAUUGGAUGCUUACCAGAGUAUCUGCAGCACGUACUUGAGUUGGUCUCCUUUGGGGGAGAUGAGUAAGACGCCUGCACCGGCCCCUUCAAGUUUGAGGGAUCCGUCGAAGUACAUUACCCAAUGCUCUGGUCGUUCGACUAGAGUAGGAACUUGAUUUUCAGUCCACUCGGCUAUGAAGUCGGCCAAAGCCUGAGACUUGAUGGCUGUCCUUGGCUUGAAGCUCAAAGUAAGAGCUCCGAGUUCGACUGCCCAUUUAGAGAUUCUACCCGUGGCAUCUCUGUUAUGGAGAAUUUUGCCAAGCGGGAAGUUGGAGAUGACUAUGAUGUUAUGCUCUUGGAAGUAAUGGCGCAGCUUCCGGGAGGUGAGCAGAAUAGCAUAUAUUAGUUUUUGUAUCGGUGGAUACCGAGUUUUGGAGUCUGAGAGUACUUCGCUGACGAAAUAGACAGGUCAUUGGACCUUGUAGGCGUGGCCCAGUUCAGACCGUUCGACUACCAUUGUCGUGUUGACGACAUGAGUGGUAGCGGAGAUGUAUAGGAGCAAGUCCUCGUUCGGCGAGGGAGCGGUGAGUACAGGAGGCUUUGAUAGAAAGUCUUUGAGUUGUGUCACUGCCUUAUCUGCCUCUUCCGUCCAUUUGAACUUGUCCUGGCGUUUGAGAAGCUUGAAGAAGGAUAGUCCCCAUUCUCCAAGUCUCGAGAUGAACUGGUUGAGAGCGGCCAUGCAGCCUGUGAGUUUCUGCACAUCCUUAAUGCUGGCUGGAGCCUGCAUGUUUGUGAUGGCAGAUAUCUUCUCCGGGUUGGCCUCAAUGCCGCGAUGGCUAAUGAUGAAUCCGAGGAGUUUGCCGGAAGGUACUCCGAAGACGCACUUAGUAGGAUUGAGUUUCCAUCGGAAAGCGCGUAGACUAGAGAAAGUUUCCUCCAAGUCGGCAAUGAGGUCCUCCCGCUGUCUUGUUUUGACGACGACGUCGUCGACGUAAGCUUCGACAUUGCGAUGAAGCUGCUUCUCGAAGCACAUCUGUAUAGCCCUUUGGUAAGUUGCUCCUGCGUUCUUGAGUCCGAAAGACAUUGUUGUGUAGCAGAAAGCUCCAAAGGGCGUGAUGAACGCUAUUUUGACUUGAUCUUCCUCUUUGAGGCUUAUCUGAUGAUAGCCGGAGUAGCAAUCGAGGAAGCAUAGCAAGGCGCACCCAGCGGUGGAGUCAACCACUUGAUCGAUCCUGGGUAACCCAAAAGGGUCUUUCGGGCAAUGUUUGUUGAGAUCGGUGUAGUCGACACACAUUCUCCAUUCGUUAUUUUUCUUGCGAACAAGCACAGGAUUGGCGAGCCAGUCAGGAUGGAAGACUUCCUUUAUGAAUCCCGCCGCGAGUAGUUUGGCUAGUUCUUUUUUUAUGGCGUCGCGUCUGUCCUAAGCAAACCAGCGUAGUCAUUGCCGUUUUGGAGUAGCUUUGGGAUCAACAUUAAGGGAGUGCUCGAUCAGUUCCUUGGGCACACCUGGCAUGUCGGCCGGCUUCCAAGCAAAGAUAUCGUGGUUAGCCCAAAGGAAACUGACGAGCGCAAGUUCCUAUUUAGGAUCCAGCCCUGUUCCGAUCAGGGCUGUCUUGGAAGGAUCUCCGGUCUGGAGGUCCAUCGAUUUGAAGUCUUGCUCACUGGCGGGUUUCACCUUUGUAGAGCCCGGCUUGUUUUCAAGGAUCUCAUGUUCAGUUGGGUGGAGUUUCUUUGAAGCUGUGAAGACUUGCUGCAUGGGACUAGGAGAUUGAGUAGUCGCAGCAAUUUCCACGGCUUCGGUGUCACACUCGUAGGAUCUCCGGAGAUCUCCUUGUAGCGUGAGCUCACCUUUGGGACCUAGCAUCUUGAGUACCAGGUAGACAUAAUGUGGUAUGGCCAUAAACUUGGCAAGUGCCGGCCGUCCGAGUAUGGCGUGAUAAGAAGUCUCGAAGUCGGCGACCUCGAAUCGGAUGUACUCGGUGCGGUAAUGUUCUUUGGUUCCGAAGGUGACUGGGAGGACAACUUGCCCCAAUGGUAUGUCCGCGUUUCCGGGCACAAUGCCGUAGAAAGGUGAAUCCAUUGGAGUAAGCAUGUCCGUGACGUCGAGGCACAUUUUCCUUAGUCUUUUGGCGAAGAUAACGUUGAGACCGCUCCCGCCAUCGAUGAGUACUUUGGUUAACUUUGAACCUGCCACAACUAGAUCCAAGACUAGCGGAAAACGACCGGGUUCUGAAAAUUUUGUCCAUUGAUCCUUUCUGCUGAAAGAAAUUGGAACCUCCGACCACUUUAGCGGUGUGGGAUCUGUCGGCUCGAUGGCCAUGAUCUCCCUGAGUACGAGUUUGUUGGCUCACUUGGAUGCUGUGCCAGGGAUGCCACCAAAAAUGACGUUAACGGUUUUUGAGGCUGGUUGGAAAUCGCCGUCUUCAUCUUCGUCAUUGCGGGCUUUGUUUUAGCCCUUGUCUCUAUUUUUGGCAUACUCUUCAGGAGUUGGUGGUGCUGGUAAAUCUUGCAUGACUCGGCGCAUGCUGUAACAGUCCAAAGCGGAGUGCUUGCUGGUUGGGUGUCAUGGGUACUGCUUUUUGAGUAGCUCCGUGAAGGUUGGUCCGUCGUCGUUUCUGCGUUGUCCCUUUUUCCCGGAGCUGGUCAUGGCAGCAACAGUGUUGUCGGGCUUCCUUUUGCGAUUAUGAUUACCCGUAUAGGAAUUCCGAGCAUUGUUAUGACGAGUUUUAUCUGUGUCAUUGUUCUGGGUGUUGUCGCGUCCGCGGUUAUGAUGGGAGCCGAACCGUUCAUGUUCUUUGUCUUCUUCAUCGGCCCACUGUUGCACCAUGAGCUUGAGUUCUUUGACAUCGGCUGACCGUCGGCGACCGAAGUCUUGGUAUGUUCGUCGAUCGUAGAGUCCAUUUUGGAAACACUCGAUGACGUCUGCUUCGGAGAUGUCUACUAUGGUAGCCUUCUUUUCGAAGAACCGUCGUAGAUAGUCGCGCAGGGUUUCGCCCUCUCUCUGCUUAAUUUAUUGUAAGUCAAUCUUGUUGCCUGGUCUAGCCAUGGAGCCGGCGAAGUUGUUGGUAAAAGCCUUUGUCAAGUCUGCCCAGGAGUCGAUGGACUUGGGUUUAAGUGACUCGAGCCAGGUCAGUGGUGCGGGUUCCAUGCAUAUGGGAAAAUGAAUGACUUUGGUGUGGUUGUUGCAUCCGGCUGCCUGGACGGCUAGCGAGUAACAGCGUAGCCAUUGAAUUGGAUCUUUCUUGCCAUCGUACUUGGUAAUGCCGAUCGGUUUGAAUUUUUCGGGUAAUUUUGUUUUCAUUACCCGGUUUGUGAAAGCAGGAAAGUGGUUGUAGCUGUCGACUUCUCGUUCACGCCGACUGUUGAGGAUUUCUCGUAGAUCGCUGAUGUUGGACAUCUUGUGGUUCUUCCGAGUAGGGCGGACGCUUUUAACCGAGUUGGUGCAGCUGGCUUCACCUACAUCCUUCUGUUGAGUAGGAGCUUUGUGCUUGCUUGGACCUUGGCUAUGUUGCCGGGGCUGGUUGACUGCCUCAUCAUUUCGUGGGGUGGCAUUUUUAUCUGUAGCCCCCCUGCUUCCAUCUGUAAUGCGAGGAACGGACGGGAUUGGUGAUUCUUUGUCAAGCAGCUUGUAAGCUUGCUCUGCGAGUUGUGCAAUUAGUCCAUUGCCACGCUGCACGAGUUGAGCUGUGGCUGCGUUAUCAUUAUCUUGAGGCAUCAAUGUCGUCAAAAUGUUGAUGGAAGCGAUAUCCGCGAGUGGAGUGUUGUGCUCCUGAGCCUGAACUGCGUUGAAAGACCGUUCAAGAUUUGUAAUAGGGAUAUUUGUAGCCAUUGACUGUUGACGCUUAGCUCGAGUAGUAUUGCGCGCCCUUCGUUGCUUGCGCUGUUCAGGAGUUUCAUUGUCGGCUAUAGACUCAUCGUCAGAGAUGUUGUCGACUUGUACUAGUCGCCCGGGGGUUCUAUUCUGGCUAGUUCCCGGGUUGUUAACUGGAGUAAUAACAAGUAUCUCCCUGUCCGGGUAGUAGCUUCCGGAACUUGAUGUAGCAAUCUCUGUGUAGCUUCCUUCGUGGUUGGAUGUAAGUGGAACGCCUUCUUGAUAUGGCAAGUUGUCUAUAUGGGUGAUGAGGCGCGAGUCGUAGUCACGGUCGAGGAAAGAUGGUCGCAGUCCCGGCCAGUGGACGAAUCUGCCUUGCGGUGUCGAAGUUAUUACCAACCCUUGGGCUGGACUGGAUAAUGGUAUUUCUGGUGAGUAGGAUGAGUUGGAGUCAACAUCCUCGUCAUGCCCGAGUUCAACUCGGGUUCGAGCAAGAAAAUCUUGAUAGACUUUUGUUGCGUUACGGAGUCCGUGCGGGAACCGCUUUGAAAUCGAGACUGAUUUAGAUGCUGACUGGGGUCGCCGAAUCCGAAGCGAGUCCGACCCUGAGUCCAGGGGUCGGCCGAGCCCAACCCUGUGAGGGAGGAGCUCCACCUCGUCCGACCCUGAGUGGAGCGCCGCUUCGCCCGGCCCCAAGUCCUGGGGUCGGGAGAGCCUGACCCUGUGGGAGGGUAGCUCUGCCUCGCCUGACCCCGAGGCCUGGUGUCGGCGAGGCCCGACCCAGGAGCAAGAUGAAGUCAAAUCCGACCCCGAGUCCUGGGGUCGGGAGUGCCUGACCCCUGAGCGAGACUCCGCCUCGCCCGACCUCGAGUCCUGGGGUCGGGAGUGCCUGACCCUAGAGCGAGACGUUGGAGUAGUCCGAGGCGAAGUCGAAUCCGACGCGUAGCCGAACUCGAACUUGUUGACUUUGAAAUCUUGAUUUUUUCUAGUCAGGUUUUCUGGUUUCUUCUGCUGAGUGUCGACGAUCUGGCGCCGGAACGAUCCUGAGCCUUCGGCGACGUAGAGCCAGGAUCCGAAAAUGAAGGUGGCGUCGGCUUCGAUGAAGAAGACGGGUCUGAUGAUGACUUUCGCCAUUGAGUUUGCGCUGAGAAACUCGACGAGUUCCCCUACCUAGCACGCCAGCUGUCGGUGUUUUAGACCGGCAACCCGCCUAGGGGGUACCCUAGGUGGUCUUUUAUGCGGUAAGGGUCGUCGAGAAUCAAGGAAUCAAUGGUGACGCAAGGAACACGAUUUAGACAGGUUCGGGCCGCUAGAUCGCGUAAUACCCUACGUCCUGUGUGUUGGUUUGUAUUGAUGUAUGUUCUGGUCCUGAAGGAUCUAUUUUGAGGGGGGUCCCUGCCCGGCCUUAUAUACCCGGGAGGGCAGGGUUACAAGUCUGAAUCCUAGUCGGGUACUAUUACAGAGUUCUACUCGGAACCAACCCGAGUAGUUUUCCAUAAACAUACAAGACUAGUCCGAGUAGGAUACGCCCAUCCUUAUUCUGAUCACGUUCGAGUACGUCCCAUAGUGGGCCGCCCAAGGCCUACUCAUGGGUCCGGGGAGUAGUCCCGACACACGGAAAAAAAUAUCGCCGAGGCAAUUUUUGGUACAAUCAUGGACAUUCCUGACAAGACAAAGGAUAAUGUUAAGGCUAGAGUGGAUCAAGCGACGUUGUGCAAUAGACCAAAGCUAAACAUGGCGCCUCCAAGAGCUGGCAAGUCGUGGAGGAAGCCUAAGGCCGAUUUCGUUCUGACGAGGGCCCAAAGGAGGGAGGUUCUAGAAUGGUUCCAAACGUUAAUGUUCCCUGAUGGCUAUGCAGCGAACUUGAAGAGGGGAGUGAAUUUAGCAACUAUGCGAAUCAACGGGCUCAAGAGUCAUGAUUACCAUAUAUGGCUUGAGUGCCUACUUCCGGUGAUGGUUCGAGGCUAUGUCCCUGAGCAUGUGUGGCAGGUGCUAGCGGAGUUGAGCAAUUUCUUCCGCCGGCUUUGUGCGAAGGAGUUAUCUCGUACCGUGGUUGCAGAAAUGGAAACAAUGGCGCCUGUGUUGCUCUGUAAGUUGGAGAAGAUCUUUCCACCAGGCUUCUUCAAUCCAAUGCAGCAUAUGAUUCUACACCUCCCGUAUGAAGCACGAAUGGGGGGCCUGUGCAGGGUCGUUGGUGCUAUUCAAUUGAGAGAUGUCAAAAGGUUCUUCGAACUAAAUGUAAGAAUAAGUGCAAAAUUGAAGCAUCCAUUGCAGAGGCAUACAUUCUGGAGGAGGUGUCAAACUUCACAUCAAAAUACUACGCUGACAACCUUCCUAGCGUGCAUAAUCCACCUCCUCAUUACAAUGCCAGCGAAGAUGAAUUGAGCCUUAGCAUUUUCCGAGGGCAACUCGGAAGUGCAAGUGGUGCGACCCGCAAGACCUUGAACCAUGAAGAGUGACGCUCUAUCAUGCUGUAUGUGUUGACCAACCUAUCUGAGGUGGAGCCGUACAUGAUGUAAGUUCUCAAUUGUUUCGAACUAGUCACCAUUCUCUUGCCUAAACGUAUAUUUCUCAUUGCUACAGGCAAUUUCAUCAUCAAUUCUGGCGUAAAUCAAGGCAAUUGUACCCGCACGAAGCUGAGACUCUUCUCAAAGAGGGUGCGGAAAAUGGAAUGCGCGAUUUCAUUUCUUGGUUCAAACAGAAGGUACAAUCCAAUUUCUUCGUCGAUUCUCGUACAUACGAUUAAUAUAACGAACCGCCCUGCUUGAACUUGCAGGGCCGAACCGAUGCAUCUAUGAAUGUCGAGUUGAGACAGGUUGCCGAUGGCUGUGACUAUAGGGUCAGGUCGUUUGCCGGUUAUGACGUCAACGGAUAUCGUUUUCAUACAACAAGGCACGAGCAGAGUCGGCCCAAUCGAAGAACCACAAAUACCGGAGUUUUCACGCCAGGCUCUGAUGGGGUCGAGUACUACGGAAGAAUUGAAGAAAUAUACGAACUAACUUUUCAUGGGUGCAAACCUCUUAAUCCAGUUAUAUUCAAAUGCCAUUGGUUUGAUCCAUCUGUCGUGAGAUGGGCCCCUAAUCUUGGGCUAGUCGAAAUUCGAUAGUCAUCCAUGUUACGAGGAGACGAUGUCUAUAUUGUGGCUCAACAGGCCACGCAGGUUUAUUAUUUGUCAUACCCGUGCCAAACCGACAGCCGUCUUAAGGGUUGGGAUGUUGUGUACAAGGUAUCGCCACACGGUAAACUACCUGUACCAAACAAUGAAGAUUACAAUAUAGAUCCCAACACGUACGAAGGAGAGUUAUUCCAAGAAGAUGGUCUCAAAGGGAGUUUUGUGAUAGAUUUAACCGAAGCGAUCGGAAUGGAAGUAGAAAACGAAAGGGUUGCUGCAGAGGACGGUGGAGACGAGGUUCAGAAUGUGAAGGACUUAGAAUUACUUCAAUGAUUACAAUUAGCUAAUGAUAGUGAUGAUGACAUUCCUCCUUCGGAGCACGGGCUUGACUAUAUCGACACGCGUGAUAGUGAUGAUGAGACUUAUGAUCCAGCUAAUCCCGAUCAUGAUGAUUAUUUCUAAUACAUGUAUGAGUCAUACUAAUUUAUUUAUAAUUUAUUUAUAAUUUUCAUAUCUUUGUAAUUAUGUUUUGUUUAUCUAUGCUGAUUGGUUUAUUCUUUUUAAUUGCAGGUCAUUGAGCAAUGGUGGGCGGUAUCAGGAAGCUCACAUCGAUUUGCGAGAGACUGGCUGCUACAGGGAGCGGUCGAGGGAGGCGUCGAGGCAAGCCUCGACGUAGGGUUGAGGAGGAGGAGGAGGAGGUGGUGGUGGUCCAGAGGCCUCGAGGGAAGGGUAAAGCGGCGAGGCCCCCGUCGCCUGAACCUGAGGUGGAGGAGGAGGAGGAGGAGGAGGAGGAGUAGGAGGAGCUACCUUCCGCACACACGCCUCUGGGGACGAUGAGCAGGAGGAGGCGGAAGAGGAGUAGCAGGAGCAGGAGGGGGACGGGGAGGCAGGGGAUGCCCAGUCCAAGAUAUGGUUGCGAGGUCCCUCAUCCCUCCCGAAGCGUCCGAUACCUGAGCAUUUACGCCCGCUGAUUAAACCGGUUGGGACCAAGUAAGUAACUUUAAAUAUUCUCAACAAUGUUCCUAUGGUGAAAGUUACAAAAACUAAUAAUUUAUAUUAAUCACUUGUGCAGGAGUUGGAUUAAGCUUAGUGGGGGUGACCACAACCGUAAGGCCAACGGGAUCCUUGGCCUUUUGUGUAGGGUUCACUUCCCUGGCUUGGUGGUGUACGUUGGACAGCAGCAGCCGGCCUACACGUGGGACCACUACGUCGCCGCCCCCGACGUCCCUGAUCGUCAACAGAGGAGAUUGCCCAACAUAGCGGAGUGGAUGAAGACCGAUAUAACAAAAUUCGGAGCACUUAACAAUGCAUGGCCAAAACACUCAUGUAUGCACAAAUGAUGCUUAUAAAGGCCAACGAUACACAAAAAGAUGUUCAUGAUGCUUAAAUAUGCAUGAUGAUACGUGUCGUGAUGAAGGUGCCGGGUUUAACGCGUAUUCUCACACCAAGUUUGAACUACGCGGUUUAAUUUCCAAAAGUGAAAGUUCCGGAACAAGGUAUGUGCUAUGACUUUUAUAAAGAUCAAUAAGGAAAAGCUCGAUGAAGUUGAAGAUAGGAUGGUAGGACCUUUGGUGGAACGUCGGUCAAAGCUAUUGCGGAAUUGGAUUUGAAAGUUGACGGAUCAUCUACUCGAAUUUGGAACAUCCUCUGCUCAAAAUCAGAAGAAGUGCUGUGAGUGGAAGGUGUUCAACUUGAAAAGGGCUACCACUAGUAUAUUGGCCAAAAUUUAAGUUCUUAUAUAAAAUUUGUUUUUAUUUGCUUCACAAGCGAUUCUCAACAAGAGGGAGUUUUAACACUUGGUUCAAAAUCUGAGGCAUUUUUGGACCUUAACUCUCAGAAAUUUGGAGUUAGCGUUGAUUUGCUUCUUAAUCACCUUGUUGAUUAUUUGGUUUAAGUUCUUAAUUACUCGGACUGUCACACUCCUCCCCUUCCUCCCUCUCCUGCUCCUGCUCCUGCUCCCGCUCUCGCUCCCGCUCCCGCUCCUACUCCUCCUGUACCUCUGCCAUAUCACUAGAGGCGUGCCCGGAAGGUACCUCCUCCUCCGACGACGACGAAGGUACAGGCGAUGGGAGCCUCACCCCUUUACCCUUUCCUUGACCCCUGCCCCGACCCCUGCCUCUAGCCAGAACCUGUGCCCCCUCCGUUUCCUCAACCUGUGCGUCACCCCUGCCUCCACCCCUCUCUCGACGCCUUCCUCGAACUCUCGAUGCGUUUGACCUUGUACCUGAUCCAGAAGCUGCAGCUUUUAAUUUUUCGUAAAGUGCUGCGAUCUUCCUCGUACCGCCCACCAUUGUUCAAUCACCUGCAUUUGCCAAGAGUAAACCAAUCAGCAUAGAUAAACAAAACAUAAUUACGAAGAUGUGCAAAAUAAAGUAAACAUACUUCAAAAAUAACAUGGUAUGACUCACCUUGCUAUCGUACAAAGUGACGGCUCGAGGACGGUAACGUAGCCUCUCCUGCAAAAAAAGAACAUACAACUGUCAAGUUAAAUUUUCGGCAGCACCUCCCCUGCACGUGGAGGUUUCCAUAACCUGCAUCAAAUAAAACGGCACGAUGGCCGACUUCCACAUACAGUUCUUAUACCUUAGAUUCCCAAGCCAAACAUCAUUUUCUAAUUUCUAAAACAAAAGCCCUACCACCUCUCUAUCUUAUCCUUCAUUAAUUAAUAAUUACUUUUGCAAUUUCUAAUUUCUAUUUCAACCUACCACAUCUCUACUCUUUUCUAAUUUCUAAUUCCAAUUUUGUAACUUGAAAAACUAAUUUCUAAUUCUGAUUGUAACUUGAAAAACAAAGAUUGAUUACCGGGAGGGUGAGGGACGCCGGCCUAGAGAGGCGAGGGGACGUCCGGCGGUGGCGGGCACGUCAAGGGCGGGGGCAGCAGGGCCCUAGGGCGCCGGUGGCAGGGGCGCCGGGCCAGAGGUGCCGGGGCCGGGGGCAACGGGUGGGUCGGGGCGGGGACGCCGGUGGCGGGGUCGCCGGGGUUGGGGCGGGGGCAGCCAGUGGGGCGGGGCCCCGGGCAGGGGGCGCCGGGGCCGGGGGCACCGGUGGUGGGGCCGCCGGUAGGGCGGCCGGCGGGGCGACGCGCUGGGGCCGGGGCGGUGGCGGCCCACGGGGCGGGGUGCCGGGGCCGGGGCGGUGGCAGCCGGCGACGGGCGGGCCGGGAGCGCCGGGGGCGGGACGCCGGGGCCGGGGCGGGGCGGGAGCGACGGGCAGGUGCGGGGCGCUAGGGCGCGGCGGGCGGGAGGCCCGGCGGGCGGGGCGACGGGCGGCGGCGGAGGAGGAAGUUGAAUCAGAUGGGAGUAAGUUUGGGUGUCGGCGUCGUCUAGCAUCUAAGUGUUGGAAUCAGAGGGGAUAACGCCGGUUCUUUGCCGAGUGCCCGCGAUCUGGCACUCGGCAAUGUCAUAACGUUUACCGAGUACGAGGUACGGGGCACUCGGCAAAGGGAAGUUUUAAUUUUUUCCCAAAAUUNNNNNNNNNNNNNNNNNNNNNNNNNNNNNNNNNNNNNNNNNNNNNNNNNNNNNNNNNNNNNNNNNNNNNNNNNNNNNNNNNNNNNNNNNNNNNNNNNNNNNNNNNNNNNNNNNNNNNNNNNNNNNNNNNNNNNNNNNNNNNNNNNNNNNNNNNNNNNNNNNNNNNNNNNNNNNNNNNNNNNNNNNNNNNNNNNNNNNNNNNNNNNNNNNNNNNNNNNNNNNNNNNNNNNNNNNNNNNNNNNNNNNNNNNNNNNNNNNNNNNNNNNNNNUUUUCAAAUAUACUUGGGCAAAACCGUGUCAAAUUCACUCAACAAUGGUUAAAUGAUUUUUCUACUGAUAUUAUUCCAUUAUUUCAUGCAGUUAUAGCUCAAAUUGCAUUUAUAUCUAUUAAAAUCUAUAAUUGCAUUUAAUCAAUAAAAAAUAUCAAACGCAUCCGAAAAAUUUCCAAAAUUUGACAUGAACCAAUCUAUGUUGUAUGUUGCCUAUACAAAAAGAAUUGAAAUCAAACCUUAAUUCAAGUGUCACUUGGACUCCAAAUCUUAUUGGAUCCUUUCGGGAGAUGAGUCGGUUUAUCAGCAUCGUAUGUUAGAAAUUGGGCGAAACCUUCUCAAUUUUUUACCACAGCCUCCACACAUAAUAUCAUGACAUCUUCACAAAUCUUGUGAUUUUCAGAUUUCGUUUGCCGUUUUUAGAAUUUAACAACCAUUCAACAACACGUUCGUGGUCGUGUUUUUUAAAAACAAUGUUCAAAAUUUUCUUUUCAUUUCCUGGUUGAGACCUCAAUCCGGACUCCAUAAUAUGAAUAUGAUUUUUUCACUGAUUUUAAUCCAUUAUUUCAAGUACUUGCAGUUGAAAUCUGACUUGAAUAAAAAAAUUCCUAUUAAUGGAAUCAAUUCAUUAAAAAUAGCAAACAGACCAAAAAAUAGACCAACUUUUAAGAUGGAUUACCAAAUGUCCUAUGUGGGGAGUAGAAAAAGUGUGGAGGGCAAAGGUGGGAAUUUUUUUUUUAUUUGCCAAGUGCCAACAGAAACAAUCGACAAACUUCCUGGUUUGCCGAGUGUCUGGGGUGGGGCACUCGGCGAACUUUAUUGUUUGCCGAGUGUCUGUGGAUGACACUUAGGAACGUCUUCUUUGCCUAGUGUCGGCGUCCGACACUCGGCAAAGCACUAACGGCCGGCCCACUCCGGUAACGGACGGCGCACGUGCGAAGCAUGUGCUGUUUAUUUGCCGAGUGUCGUGUAUUUGCCGAGUGCCAUGUGGUCGUUUGCCGAGUGCCUUAUUUUUGGCACUCGGCAAACAGGUGGUUUGCUGAGUGUAAAAUGUUUGCUGAGUGUCUGCCUGUAUACACUUGGCAAAUAGGUGGUUUGCCGAGUGCCUGAAAGAAAGCACUCGGCAAACUUUUUACACUCGGCGAAGUUACUGUUCCCGGUAGUGUGAGUAGCCUUGGUGAGUGGAAAAAUAUAUGUAGUCAAUGUGCACUCUAUGAUGUAAGUAUAAAUUCUAUUUUCAAUUAUAUCGUAUGCUUAAUUUAUAUUUAUGUAACAUAUUCAACGUGGAUGACAAUAGUUUUGGGUUGCACACUAGCUUGUUAGGCUGAAAGUCUCUGUAAAUUCAAAAACAAAUUACUGAUGUUUUUAUGAGAACAAUAUUUCUAAGAACGGGUCAUGCCAUCACUCACCCUUGGAAAACAAAUUUGCAUGGUCGGGUCAUGAUAUCACCCGUCCCUGCAAAUAAUUAUUUUUAGAGACGGUCAUGGCGUCACCCGUAGCUAGAAAUAUAUUUACAGGGGUGGGUGAUCGCGUGGGCCGCCCUUGGAAAUGGCUUUCUAGGGGCGAACAUGUUACCCGCUCUUGCAAACAGCUAUUUGUAGCUGCGAAAAGUAGGAUGCAGGUAACGCACACAGGAAGCAGGUAACGCACCCGUCCCUACAAAUGUCAAUGGGUCCUAAAAACCAUUUUCUAGGAGUGAUGAAACUAUAAUGAUCAUUUCUUUUCUUCCUCAAAACAUCGAACAACUGAUUUCAUUAUUAUGCUUGUCUUUGAAUAAGUUGAACCCGAAAAAAAAGAUACACGCCCUAAGUCGUGCGCUCGGUAACGCGCUAAAUGGCAUGACAGAUGCACUUUACUCCACGCAUCUCCCAGCGGUCCGGUCUGGAACCCUCUCACUCUGUUCCGUGCUCCAUACUUCCGUGUCAAUCAGCACAGAUAAGGUGUCAGAGUCCUGCCCAAAUAACUCCUACCUGCUCAGACCCAGCGCAUCAAUUUCAACACGCGCGACGCUGUCCAGAUAACCGGCUGAGUCGUCCCACGCGGCACCAAAUCCGCCCUUCACGCUAUAUGUAGGACACGUCCAGGCAAACACGGAAGACACCAAGACCAUGUCUAAUCCACUCCUGCGGUUGCUCCUUCCUCUCCUGCUUCUCCUGCUUCCCCCUCCCCUCCGGGAGUACUUCUCGGCCAGCCACCGGCCAAAGGAUGCCGGCUUCAGCGGCGAGCUGCACCCGGUCGUCCUGGUGCCUGGGCAAAGCUGCAGCGACCUGGAGGCGCGGCUCACCGAGGCGUACAAGCCGUCGGCGCCACGCUGCGGCGCAAUGAAGGGGAAUGGAUGGUUUGGCCUGUGGAAGAACGUUUCAGACCUGGCGGCCAAUGACUACGUUGACUGCUUCGUGGAGCAGAUGCGCCUCGUCUACGACCCUGCCAUCAACGACUACCGGAACCUGCCCGGUGUGGAGACGCGCGUCCCCAACUUCGGCUCCGCGAGAGGGUUCCACUGUAAAGACCCUCUUCACCCGUACGUAAUCCUGCCAAAUCCAUCACUCAUGCAUAGAGAUGUAUCAGUUAGUGUGUGAUACAUCUGAACGCCAUGCACUGCUCACAAGUGGCGGAGCUAGAGCGAAAUAUCUCAUAAAAGAACCGCACGAUGGAAAGAUGAGGGAGGUUGGCCUAUUUGUUUGCUGUUGCCUUAGCCAGAUUCCAUUGCGCUGUGGGUGCAGAAGGUUAGACCGAACGAAGGGGGUGCAUGUGCAUCACGGAUUCACGGUAAUUAUCCAGCGGGUUUGUAGGGUUUUUUUUUGGCUGCUGGGGUGGGUGCAUCUGCACCCACCAUGCAUGCUCAACGUAGCUUCACCCGUUGAUGAAACCAGCUCAUGAUCCUGCGCACUCAAGAAUGUUGGAUCUUAGAUGCAUUCAAGACGCACUAAACGCAUAAAACAAUGGUGUGCCUUGUUUUCUAUAAAAUGGGGCAGGGCGGAUGCCUGUCAGCUCUAAAAAAAAAUUCAUGACGCACACUGCGCUAAUGACACCUUUUUUGCAAGCUCUGCAGGAAACAGUGCGUCGAUUAUGUCAGAGAAGGCCUGGAAAGAGUCGGAUAUCGCGACGGAGAUACCCUGUUUGGCGCUCCUUACGACUGGCGCUACGCUCCUCCAGUGCCUGGCCAGCAAUCUCAGGUCUAUUCACGCUACUUUAGACAGUUGAAGUCGCUCGUCGAGACCGCGAGCAAGAAACAUCACAAGAAGGUCAUCAUCUUUGGGCAUAGCUACGGAGGAAUGGUUGUACUCGACUUCGUCAGGAACACUCCGCUGGCGUGGAGAAACGAGUACAUCAAGCACCUUAUCCUGGUAGCGCCUGUACUCUCUCUGGGCAUCCUAAUUCAGGCACAGCUCAUUGCCUUUGGUCCAAAUAUGAAAUUCGUCGGAGCUACCCAGUCGUCUUUGAGAACGAUGUGGAGGAGUUUCGAAACUGGCAUCGUGGAUCUGCCAUCUCCGAAAGUAUUCGGGCACAUGCCACUUGUGAUCACCGAGCAACGAAACUACUCUGCAUAUGACAUGGAGGAUUUCCUUGUCGCCAUCGGUUUCGGCGACAGUGUUGAGCCUUUCAGACGGCGGAUGGUCCCGAAGAUGAGGUACUUCAAGGUACCCAUGGUGCCUUUAACAUGCAUCAAUGGAGUGGGCAUUAGGACGGCAAAGCAACUCGUGUACUGGAAGAGUGACUACGACAGGUCCCCAGAAAUAGCGUAUGGAGAUGGAGAUGGGGCUGUCAAUUUGAUUAGUAUGUUGGCAUUUGACAAAGAGAUGAGACGGCAACCAGCACAAAAGAAGCAAUUCAAGUCCGUUAAGAUUCAUGGGGCGGACCACUGUGGGCUUGUUACGGAGGAAUGGGCAGUAAAGAGAGUCAUUCAAGAAUUUUUGGAAGCAAAUCGAAUUUCAUCAUAGGCUCACCCGGGUGCUACUAUGUGCUUUAAGUAUGAUAUCAUGUGAACUUGUGUGUGGAUGGAUUCCACCAUUGGCCUGUGUAGUCGUCAUUCUAUUAAUAAAUAAGAAUUGCACGGGCAGGGUAAGUGUUGCAGAACAAGCAACACUAACUGUGUAGUUCUUGGAACAUAGAGAAGGUCCGUGUUACAGGCAAUGUAACCUAGUCAUUCAGUACACUAACGGAGAGCACAGGAUGUUCUGCAUUUCAUUUGUGCCCUCUUCUGGUUGCACGUAAUUUGUGUACAUAAAAGAAAACUUCGAAGACAAAACUUGCGCAUUUAGGUUACAUCACCAAGACCUCCCCCACACCU
rnacentral:lncRNA from 1 species